rnacentral:lncRNA from 1 species
UUUAAAUAGAAGAAAACUUGAGGGUCAAGAAAACCCAACUCAACACAUAUUCUCCGCUACACUCACUACACAUGUACUCCCUAGGCACCGUUUGGUUGGCGGUCCCCGCUAUUCCGCCAAACGAAAUAAUUUUUUGUCGAGAUAUUUUAUCCCGGUCAAAUCUUACUAUUCCCGGCUAUCUCGGAAUAGCAAUGAAUUUACUAUUCCACUAUUUUGAUGGAAUAGUACUAUUCCAAUAUUUAAUUUCAAACUUUAUUAAAAUAAUAAAUUAAAUUAAAACUAAAUUAUAUAAAUAUAAUAUGUCAUAUAUUAUAAUAUAUUUUUUUAUUAUAAAAUUAUUAAUUGUACUAUAUUAACACAUAUUAUUUAUAUUUAAGUAUUAAAUAUUAUAAUAAAUUAUAUUUAAAUAUUAUAAAAUAUUAUUUUUAUUAAAUUUAAGUUUAAGUAGAAUUUUAAAAAAUUAUUNUAAAUUAUAAAUUAUAAAUUAUAAAUUUUAAUUUUGAUAUUUUAAUUUUGAAAUUUAAAAUUUGAUAUUUUAUAUUUUUCAAAUUUAAAUUUGAUAUUAAAUUUAAAGUUUGAAAUUUAAAAUUUAAAAUUUAAAAUUUUGAAUUUAAAAUUUCAAACUUUAAAUUUAAAAUUUUAAUUUCAAAAUUUAAAAUUUAAAAGUUAAAAUUUUAAAUUUAAAAAAUAUAUAUAUAAUUUAAAAUUUCAAAUUAAAAUAUAAUGAGAAGCGUAAUAUCAUUAUUUUUUAUUUAUAACUACCCACUUUAAUUAUUAUUCCAUCUUACCUAAUCAAACGAUAUUUUUUUUAUUCCCAAAAAUAACCCAAUUUUCAUCCAAACGCAAAAUUGAUUUAAUCCCCGCUUAUAGCUCAAUUUAUACCUAUCCCUUGAAUAGUCACUUUUUGUUUAUCCCCGAACCAAACGAUUUAGUUACCAUGUACUCCACAACAUCCAUUAGUUGCAAAAUUAAACCAUUACUCUAUUAUCUACAUGACUUAGUUAACUUCUAGCUAACUUAAGCCAUGACUAUUGCUACUUGGACCACUACUUGCAUAAUAAUAGGACCACUAAUAUCGAAUGUUAGAUGUAGCCCAUAUAAUUUAUUUAAGGUGAUCCCUAAGGGUACAGUUGAUCCAAAGGUUUAAGUGUAUCAGGGCAGAUUCUUGAUAGAAGUACGUUGGAUGAAGAGAUGUGCUGUUAGGAUGAUAAUAGUGCCCUAGGGAUGAGUGGGUAUUUGGUUGAAUAUUAUGAUCUUAUAGAUGGAAAUGGUCAAAAAGAUAGAUCUAACGGCCGAAAACUUAUGAAUACAAAGAGAUUUAUACGCAUAAGAGUAUAAUAGCCGGACUCUCUAUGUGUUAUUAGAAGCAUGGAAGUUUUCAUGCUCCUAAGCUGUUUUUGAUUAUAGAACUUCUGAAUCGACGAUAGACUCCGCUAGAUUUGAUUUAUCGUAUUGAACUAUUUAGUAAAUAAAUUUUACGAUUUUUCGAUAUAAUUUACCUAAUGAUCAAAAUGACUCAAAAUCAACAAAUUUUAUUGGUUGAUGUGUGCCAUUUGCAAGUUUAACGGUGUAGAAGUAUUCAAAUCAAAUGAAAUUUUGAUAGAAAAUUUUUUAUACUAUCUACAAUAAGAUUACUAUUUUUGAUCGAAAAUUUUAGUGUUAUAUCAUAAUUUUUUGUGAGAUUUUUAUUUUCAAUCGUUGAUUUUGAGUCCUUUCGAUCACUAGAUAAAUAAUAUUGAAAAAUCGUAAAAUUAAUUUUCUAAAUAGUUCAAAUACGUUAGAUCAAAUCUAACGGAGCCAAUCGUUGAUUCGGAAGUUCCAUCAUCAAGUUCCAUCAUCGAAAACUGCUUAAGAGCAUAAAGGCCUUCGUGCUCCUAAUAGCAUACAAGACCUACUCACACACACACUCUCUCUCUCUCUCUCUCUCUCUCUCUCUAUAUAUAUAUAUAUAUAAAACUGGAUUUUCCGUCUAAUCCUAAUCUCAUUUUUGGUUCUGCCAAGGCUCCAUAUCCAAGGAUAAGGGAGUAGAGUGAAAAUAUUCCAUUCUUUUGUAGAUCGUGACAAAGGAGGAAUCAUAAGAAAGAACCGUUAUGUUUAAUCAAUCGUUGAAAAUCAAAAAUUAUGACAGAAGAUACGAUAUUAAUAUUAAUAUUAAUAUGGUAUAUGGUAUAAUAUUAUAAACAAGUUUGCACCAUUUUCCAACAGUACCUCGCCAUCUCGAGCCUCUAUAGUCGUCUUCAGCUUGUAGUACUCCAACUCGUCGAGCACGUCCUCCGCCUUCUCCACAACGUCUCUCAGCUGCCACAGCCACGGUUCGAGCGCUUUGUCGGGUUCGGCGCUCACCGGAGGCCCCUCGACCGCAAUCAAAACCGACUGGAUCUGCGGAAGGGCCUGCUGCACUCUCUCCAGCUCAUCUUUCAUGCCUCUCCGGCCGUGGUACGCCUUGAGACAGGACAAGCCCGUGUCCACGAGAUUCUGGAUGAUCGCAGACGCCAACGAUUGUUCAAUGAAAGCUAAGUCCAUGUUCGAUCCAAAGCGUUCAAGGAAGGGAGAGAAGGAAGAAACAGAUACAUACAUGCAUAACCUUCUACACAUAUAUUAAAGUUGCUUUCUCAAGUAGCUUCCCCAGCAUUGUAAAUUGUAGAAAGGAAUUAAGUACAAUUAAUUGGCCAAUCACUACAACUUUCUUAAUUUGUUUACAGUUAAUUGGCCAAUCACUACAACUUUCUUAAUUUGUUGACAACCAAUUGACCACCAACAUCAAUAUUUGAUACAAGCUAGGUAAGUAAUGGAGACUCCUCACCUAUAAGCCAUUUUGAAAUGUCCUCUCAACUUCUUGUUGUUGUUGUUUUUGUUUUUAUCUCUCUCUCUCUCUUUUUCUUUUUCUUUUUUUCCUAAUAAGUGAUGUUAUUUAUUAUAUCUUUCAAAAUUUUAAACAUAUUUUAUUUAUCUUUGAAGGACCAAAAUAGACUUAUUGAUUGGGAAAACUUCAAAAACCUCCCUUGUGGUUUCACUUUUUUUCACUUUAGUAUCCUGUGAUUUAAAAUGUAUCAAGUUAGUACCCUGUGGUUUAUCUAAAGAUGUCCGUGGACCGGGUCAGGUCUGGGUAAUUAAUAUACUGUACCCAUACUCUAAAAAGGAAUGGUAGAAAAAAAUAUAUAUAACCUACCCAUUUAAGUUCGGGUUGGGUUUGGGUCUGGGGACUAAAGUUACUAAUAUACCCAUCGGGUCUAUUUGAGCGGGUCUGAGUAGUGACUAUCCGUAUACUAUCCGUUCAAGACCGGAUAUGGAUCGGGUCUAGAUCGGGUAUGGAUAUCCGUAUAAGUAUAUUUUUUUUAUAAACUUUAUUAAAUAAUCUAUGAACAAACUCUAAAACCCGCCAUAAAAAAAACUCGCAUUCUAUUAAGUUGUACCUUCCAAUAAAAUUCAUUCAAAAGAAAAAAAAAAGAGUAGAAAAUAAAGAGUAAAAAAAUUAGGAAAAAAUAAUGAGUAAAAGAGACGGCUAGGAUUUCAUUAGGAUGAAAAUAUAUAGUGACUCAUCAUCUAUAAGUCAUAUUAAAAUUGAUCCUUCAACUUUAAAAUUUUAUUUUUUUUUAUUUACUAUUGGAUAUUUCAUCGAGUUCGGGUCCGGGUCCGGAUUUGAAAACUAUUCCGGACCCUACCCAUUUAAAAGUUGGGUUCAGAUCGGGUCCAAAUCGGGUAUGCGUAUAAAAUAUCCGGACCCAUACCCAAAACUUUAAUGGGUAAUUUUUUUUAUCCGUAUAUUAUUCAUUUUUUAUCGGGUCCGGUUCGGGUCCGGAUAGGGUCCGGAUCGGGUAUGGGAUAUCGGAUAAUUUGGACACCUUUAGGUUUAUCACUUUAUCACUUUAGUAUUCUGUGAUUUAAAGUGUAUCAAGUUAGUAUCCUAUGAUUUUACACUUUAUCACUUUAGUACCCUGUGGUUUCGCAAUUUAUCACUUUAGUACCCUGUGGUUUAAAAAUCACAGGGUACUAACUUGAUACAAAAUUAAAACCACAGAGUACUAAAGUGAUAAACUGCAAAACCACAGGGUACUAACUUGAUACACUUUAAACCACAUGGUACUAAAGUGAUAAAGUGAGAAACCACAGGGUACUAACUUGAUACACUUUAAACCACAGGGUACUAAAGUGAUAAAGUAUGAAACCACAUGGAGAGUUUUUGAAGUUUUCCCUUGAUUUUAACAAAUUUUUUCAAAUAUCCCCGUUUCCCAGGGUUUACUAGUAGGAUUGGGUUAUAGAAGGGCAUUUUAAUAAUUUUAGGAUAAAACCGAUCGUUCCUAGAGCAAGUGACAAAGGGCUUGGUGGUUGGUAACUGAGGUUCCAAGUUCGGAUCCUAAUUGAUUCACAUUUCUAGCUAAGUUUAUUUCUAAUGAAAUAAACGAAGCGGGUAGCGUGCUACCUAUCUCUAAAAAAAUAAAAUAAAAUAAAAUAAUUUCAGGAUAAAUUUGAUAAUUUUAAAUAGUAGUAAAAGGUAAAUAAGGAAAAGCACCGACUAACAUUCAAAAUAUUUAGAUUUAUUCUAAAAUUAAUCAAAUACCUUUAUAUAUCCUAAUUUCCAUUAGUAAAUCUUUAAGGGUUUGGGAAUAUUUGAAGGAAUUUUUAAAAAUCAAUAAGCACAUUUAGGUCAACUAUGAGUAUAUUUGAUAUUUUUGAAGUUUUUGAGGGUAUAUUAGAUAUUAUCUCUUUUUAAUAAAAUGUUUAUAUUAGGAUGUAGGACAAGAUGAUGGUUGCUUACACUCUUUGCAUCCCAUGUUUUUGUUCUAACUGAAAAAAAAAAAAAAAAAAUUUUUUUUGAAGAAGAGGAAGUCAUGUCUCAUCUAGGGAUGUCAAUGGGUAUGGAUAUCUAAAAUUAUAUCCGAAUUCGAAUCUGAGCGGAAUGGAUUUAUCUGAUACUAAACGGAUAUAGUUUCGGAUAUAGAUAUCAAAAACAAAACCCAACGGAUAUGGAUUUGAAUAUAGAUUUUCACUGUACUCAACUCAAAUCCAACUCGAAUCCGAAUUUAUUUUAUAUUAUAUAUAAUAUGUAUAUAAAAAUUUGAUUUAUAUUUCAAUUAGUAUUUUAAAAAUUUAGAUUUAAUGUAAUAUAUAUUUUGAAAUAUUGAAAAGAGAAAUAAUUGUUUUGGGUUUCGGAUUUUUACUCGGGUUUCGAAUUUUUAGUCGGGUUUGGAAGUGGAUUUUUAAAAUCCGUCGGGUUCGGGUUUGGAUUUCGGAUUUAGAGUCGGAUUUGUAUUAGAAUUUUUGAAAAUUUGCUCCGAAUCCGACCCAUUGAUAUUCCUAAUCUCAUCAAGUAAGAGUAAAGUCCAUCGACCCAUAUAUCCAAUUACAUAGAAUUAUUUAGAAUCACAUACAAAAAGGUACUACGUACUGUUGCCAAACUUAACGUCUAAGUUUCUUAAUUUAAGUUACUGUAUUAAAUUAAGUUAAAUAUUUUGUUAAAUUUAAUGAUUUUUAUUAGUAAUUAGUGGGUAAUAUCUAGUUUUAUUUUCUAAAAUGUUAUUAAAUAUAUUAAAUUUGAUAAAAUCAACUAUGAGUUACACCAAAUUUCUACAAUUUAAUGUAUAAUAUAUAUAUAUAUGUGGAAUAUUCGGAUUAAGUUUUCAGAUUUAAUGGGUUCGAUUUUGAUUAUGAAUUAGAAAAAUCAUUUGAUUUUCUCCUUCUUUUUUUUGUACGUGAUGUUAAAAAUACCGAUAAGCACCCUGAAGCAAAAAACUAGAAGAAAAAAAAGAAAUUUGUAGAAAAAUCGAACCCAUUAAACUGCAGGAAAAAAAUAUUUCAGUUAUUUUUCACAAUAUUUAUUUUUUUAGAUAUGUAUAAUUUUAUGAGUAUAUAAAAAUAUAUAGUAAUACACGAAAUGAAAAAUAUACGUAUACAAAUCAGAUACAAUCUUUUACAUUAACUUUAUAUAAAAACAUUCAUUGCAGAAAUUUUAUAAUAUUAAAUAAAAUUAAAAUUAUAUAAAGUAUUACCAAAUUAAAAUAGUAAGGGAACACAAAAUAGCGCACAACUAAAAAAUAAAAGAUUCUCAACAAUUGCCUAUUUAUAAAAAUUAAGUUAACUAAAUAUAUAACUUUUUUUUACACUAUAUUUAUAAAAUUUUAUUAUAAAAAUAGAAAUUUAUUAAUUUUUGUAUCUUGACUUUCUAUAUAUUACAGAUUUUAUUAGGUUAGAUUUAAUUUUGUUAUAUUUAUUAAUUAAAAAAUAGAUUUUUUGUUAAUGCAAAAAUUUUUAGACAUGGUGCAGGUCAAAAAAAAAAAAGAAAAAGAGCAAAAUAAAACUAUAGAAAAGCAAAAAUUUUUUGUUAAUGCAAAAUUUUUCUGUAAUUAUUUUAAUUUUUUUUUUUACUUUGCCACCCGGUUAGACAUAAAAUUUUUUUGGUGAAAAAAAAUUAAACUAUAGAAGAGCAAAAUAAAACUUUUUAAAUUAUAGGGUGACAAAGUAAAAUAUGUGCUAUACUUCAAUGUGGCAAUUUGAAGUAUUUAAUUUAUAAGAAAUGGGUGUCAAAAUUUUUUUUAAAUUUUUUUUUAAUACAUAGGCCAUCUAAAUGCAAAUGGCGCAGCCAAUAAUUAAUUCCCUUUGCAAUUACUUAUAAUUUUUCAAAUUAACUUUUCAAACUCCAAGCCCAAUUCAGCUAAGGCUUUAUUUGGAAUUGCGGGGAGAUUGCGUUCCGUGCAGUGAGAAAAGACGAUGGAAAAUUACCCUAUUUAUUUCUGUACGUAAUAUUGCGUUUCGCAUAUUGUGGUUAGUCAGUUACGAUAUAUUUUCUGCGGUGCCAUCGGAGAACGAAGCAUAUCCCUAUAUGCUUUUUCUCAACUCCAUUUAUCUAAUAGCGUUAGAUAGAUCUCAAUACCAAACUAAGCCUAAUGUGAUCUACAACAGUAAGAGGACUAUAUAUAAAAAAAGAGCAAUUGUUUAUAUAUUUCUGAAAAGUUUUCGACUUUCUAAUUUACCUCUCUUAGAAGGCUAAUAUUGAAAAAAAUAUCAUUUUUAUAUUUCUACCUAUUUCAAAUAUACUCAUAGAAUUAAAUUCUGUUAAUGGACUGUUAGCUAUAACUAUUAUUUUUAUGAGAUUACUAUUUUACUUUUUUAAAUAUACCCUUUAUACCACUGACUUUUUUUAUUUGCCCUUAAGUUAAGGGCACAAAAAAUAGUUCGAUUUUUGAUCUUUUCAAAUAUACUCUUCGACCAUCACCAACAUUUUUUAUUUCCACUUAAGUUAAGGGCAAAAGAGAUAUUUUGAUUUUUUUUUUACUCUGGUAGAUAUUUAACUCACGUUUAACCCAAGUUAACUUAACGAGUGGUAACUAAAAGGAUAUUUUGGAAUAGCGGAGGAAUAUACGAGGGGUAGAUUGGAAAGAAAAAACAAUAUGGAUUAAUGGGAUAUUUUCAUAGUUUUGAAGGGUAUAUAGGCAAUUAUCCCUAUAAAAAAAUACAUAAUUUGAAAAAAAAAAAAAAAACUUAUUAUUGUAGCAUGAACUAAAAUAAAAAAUCAAUAAUUGUCUAUAAUACACCGGUAAAGUACUAGCUAAAUUUUAGUCUAUAAAUAUUUGUUUUUUUUUUUUUUUACUUUUUCCUUCCGGUUUUCAAAAAUCUCUAUUUCUUAUAAUUUAAAAUUGUUUUUUCUUCAAAAUAAGUAAGGAUAGUUUUAUUAUUUCACCCUCUCUGUUAAUGUCAUAACUCGUUGAAAACAUAUUUCAAAUUUUAAGAGGGAAUUAGUUAGACUUUUAAAAACUCAUUUGAAAAAAAUGGAUAUUGAGAAGAGGGUUUUUUUUUUUUUUAGUCUAAAUUUUAAUCUGAAGACCUCUAUCAGGGAAUUAUAGAAAUGCAGUGUAUAUGAAUAAUUUCCAUUAAUUAUGCAGUUACUUAAUCUAGGGCAAGUUUGUUUCAUUGAAACUGGACUUUGGGUUGAAGUGGAUUUUGGGUUGAACUGGAGUUCGGUAAAAACUACUUUUUCUCCGCUGUUUGUUUCGUAAUUAUGGAAGUGAAGUUCCAUCAGUUCUGCUGUUUGUUUGAUAGAAAGUGUAUAAUAUAAAACUAUAAUUUAUAUAUAAAUAAUAAAUAUUUUAAUAAAAAAAUAAUAUAAUUAUAUUUUUAUAUAAUUAAAAUUUAAUUUAAAACAACUAAAUUAUUUUUUUAUACAUAAAUUAUACUAAUACAAUAAUAAAAUUAUAAAGUUAAAAAAUAUUAAUACUUAAUUAAUCAAUUUUUAUCAUAUUUUAAAUGUACAAGCUAAAUAAAAAAAUAUUAAAACUUAACGAAUCAAUUUUUAUCAUAUUUUAGAUUUAUUAACUGAAUAAAAAAAUAAUUAGUAAUAUAAUUAAAUAUAUUUAAAUAUAACUAGCUUUAUCUAUUAUAAUAAUUUUUUUUUUCACCUCUCUUUACCGUAAUUGAUUUCGGCCCACGAUGGAGCGAAGUCAAUUACGGCGUUUGAGGUUAACUAGAGUUUCGGCCAUAACUUUUUUACGAUGAACCAAAUAAAGGAAGUUGUUGUUUAGGACGAAAUGACUCCUCUCCUCUCCACUUCCACCCUAUUUCCGCCCAAACAAACAUGUCAUCUACACAAAUAAACAGACUAUGUAUUAAAAAAAAAAAAUUCUAAGAUUCAAAAAUUUAUUACAAUAGUAUUAAGUAGUCUCAAAACUUAAUAAUCACAUGCAAUGAGUAGAUAAAGAACUACUUAGAUUUUAAUCUUAGAGGGAAAAAAAAAAAGUACAGAGACCCUCUGAACUUUAGUUUUGCAGUAAAUAAGACACCAGAACUUUAUGGUUGGUCGAUGCUGCUGCGGUUGGUAAAUAAGACACCAGUAAAUAAGACCACCUCCCCCCUCGGGCCGGACCCCCUCUGGUUUGGUCGAUGUUGCUGCGGACCACCUCUCUCCCCCCUCGGGCCGGGCCACUUUUGAUUUGGUAGAUGCUGUUGCGAAUCACCUCUCUCCCCUCUCGGGCCGGGCCCCUUCUGGUUUGGUCGAUGCUGCUGCGGACCACCUCUCUCCUCCCUCAGGCCGGGCCCCCUCUGGUUUGGUAGAUGCUGCUGCGGACCACCUCUCUCCCCCCUCGGGCCAGGCCUCCUCUGGUUUGGUCGAUGCUGCUUCGAACCACCUCUCUCCCCCCUUGGGCCCGCCCCCAACUAGCCUGGUCCCCCGGUGGCUUUCCCUCAUGUCACGUUGAAUCUGCUUCGUCUCACCUGGGUCCCUGAUUUACCUGACUCUUCUCAGCCGGCGAGGUCCGAGCCCAUCUCCUGCUACUCCCCCAGCACCAGCCCGUUUCCUCUUCGACCUGUCUUUACUGAGCCUAGGCCCCCCUCCGCGCUCUCUUUGGACUCCACUUUGCUCGGGCUGUCUCGGGCCGUUGAUCGACCCUCCCCUACGGAUCGCCAGUCUCGGGCCGUGGACCGAGCCUCCCCAACGGAUCGCCAAGGCUUGGGCAAUUGCUCUGACCAUGCCAUGCCCACCUUCUUAAGGCGAAGCUCAAGGCUUGCUGCCAAAGGCCGAGGGAUGAAGAUGUCACCCCUACAAAGAGCUCGGGACUUAUUGAGCAGGAAGCUUAAGUUUACGAGGCCUUCUUACAAAACGGCGCGCUUGCCUACCUCCUCGAAGUCCCCAACCUCUGUUGUCGAGCCUCUGAUCGACGACCCUCUCGAGGCUGCUAAUGAUCCUUCUCUCCCCUCAUCCUCCCAGCAUCCCCCGAGAUCGUCUGCUAAUCCGGACCCUUCGAGAGCUACCUCUCUACCACUCACUACUGAUGAUAUCAAGAAGAUGUCCUCCUGCGGGAUCAUCGAUCAGACGGUUGGCCCACCCGCUGCUCAGCACGCCCUCCUAGCUGCUACCUCGACCUCCCUUGGGAAUCUCACCGAGAGAGCGUAACCCCUAGUCGGGCCUCCAUGUCGAGAUCCUCUUGUUCUAUGGUUAGAAACAGGGUAUAUCAGUUUUUGUCUUGGAAUGUACGGGGGCUCAAUGACCCCGCCAAAUGUACGGUUGUCAGGAAUUUUAUCCGUAAUAGUAAGUGUUGCGUCGUCUGCUUACAAGAGACCAAACUCCCUUCCAUUUCGCGUGCUAAAUUUUUUACCUUCUGUGCAUUUCAUUUGGUAGAUUUUCGUUCUGUUGGUGCUACUGGGGCCAAGGGGGGCCUACUCACAGCCUGGAAUCCUUCUCUUUUCGAUCUCAUUGAUGAACGGGCUGACACUUUUUCUCUCUCUGUUGCCCUGCGAAGGAAAUCGGAUGGAAGGGUACUCUCGGUCUCCAACAUCUAUGGUCCUGCUUGUGCUACUUUUCAGCAAGAAUUUUUCCGGCAACUCAGAUCCCUCGAGCAUUUUUCUAGAGGGGUUUGGGUCGCAUUGGGGGAUUUCAAUACUCUCCUCUCACCUCUCGACAAAAAUGGGACCCUAUCGAGCCCCACUCACACUCUGUUGUUCAAGGAGCUCGUCAGAGAUUUAGGCCUAUUCGAUCUCCCCCUCUUAAACAAAUCCUAUACCUGGACCAAUGCUAGGCGCUCUCCCACUCUCGAGCGGCUCGAUCGCGCUCUCAUCUCGCAGGAUUGGCAACUUCUCUUUCCCCUCUCCUUCUUAAGAGCGCUUCCCCGGCCCCGAUCCGAUUACUCGCCGAUUGUCCUCUCGGCGCAUACUUUUAUGCCGUCACCUAAUCUGUUCAGGUUCGAAUCCUUCUGGUUCCGGUGCCCGUCCAUUGGUAGCAUCAUCAACCAAGCCUGGAGCUCGUCGGGGCCCUACUCGAACCUCGUUCAGCGUUUUGCCUCGAGAAUCAAGAGCGUCCAACUGGCCCUCCGAUCUUGGUCGGCGGGGCUCACCACUUUAAUCAAGGUUGAGUCUGACUUAUCCCUCGCCUGGAUUGAUUGGCUCGAUCGGGCUGAGGGAACCAGGGCCUUGACUGAAGCAAAGUGCAGGUUGCGGCCUCUCCUUAAUACCGUUACGAGGAGCUCUGCUUGCUGGAGGAGAUUAAAUGGAAACAGCGGUCUAGAAUUCAUUGGCUUCGGGCCGGUGACGCAAACUCUAAAUUCUUUCACCGCAAAGCCUCCUGCCGCAGGAUUUCGAACUCGAUCACUCAGCUAGCUGAUGGUACCUCUUCAUUCUCUACCCCCGUUUCUAUCGCUAACCACUUGUUCUCAUUCUACCACAGUUGCCUUGGAGUCGAGCAGCCGCCUCGCGCGACUGUCAAUCUGGUCUCUCUCUACGGCGGAGAGGACUUUGAUCUUUCUAGUCUCCAAGCCCCCUUCACUGUUGACGAAGUUGAGUUGGCCAUCUUUCUUUGUGCACCGGAUAAGGUCCCGGGCCCGGAUGGCUUCCCGAUGCUCUUCUACCAAAGAUUCUGGAGCAUCCUCAAGGCGGACGUCAUGGAGUUAUUCGAGUGCUUUUAUAAUGGGACCUUGGACCUGAGUGGACUUAACUGCAGCUGGAUCUGCCCUAUCCCAAAGAAAAAAUCUGUUGUCUCCGCAAGGGAUCUUCGGCCAAUUAGUCUGGUACACAGUUUGCCCAAGAUCUUCUCGAAAGUGUUUACAACCAGACUUCAAUGCUUUAUGGAUAAGCUUAUCAACCUCUUUCAAGGGGCAUUCAUCAAAGGCCGCUAUAUCUUCGAUAACUUUCUUACUGCGCAUAUCCUUAUCCAUCAUCUUCACAACUCCAAACAGCAGGCGGCCCUCCUCAAAAUCGAUUUCGAGCGCGAUCACAUCAAUUGGCACUUCCUUUUGGAGCUGCUUUGAGUGAGAGGCUUUGGCAACCGUUGGAUAUCUUGGAUAUCUUCUCUUUUGCUGUCUACAUCCUCGGCGGUUCUUCUUAACGGGCUACCAGGCAAAUCGUUCGCUUGUAGACGGGUCUACGAAAGUGAGAUCCUCUCUCCCCCUUCCUUUUCAUUUUAUGUGUGGAUGCCCUCUUUAGAAUGAUACACUUAGCUACAACCUCGAAUUCUCUGUCGGCUGUGGGAAUUGGCGACACCAAGAUACAUACCCUGCAAUUUGCUGACGAUUUAAUCCUGUUCUUUGACGGGUCCUGUUGGUCUGCUGCGGCGAUUAAACUUAUCCUCGACGCCUUCUCUGAAAACUCUGGCCUGAAGAUCAAUUACCAGAAAAGCGCCGUCAUCCUUAUUAAUCUUACAAGUGCGCAAGCCUCGGAUCUGACGGAUACUUUGGGAUGCUCCAUGCAAGGCUUUCCAUUCACCUACUUGGGCCUGUCGCUUUCCCCGAAGAAGCUUCGAAAGACGGAUUACUUCCCCUUGAUCGAAAAGCUGGAUAAUCGCCUGGCUGGCUGGAAGGGUUUCCUCCUAUCGAGAGGUGGACGCCUUGUUCUGCUAAACUCAUCUCUCUCUAGUAUCCCAAUGUACUUUUGCUCAGCCUUUGCUCUGCCUUCUUGGGUCAUUAAGGCUAUUGAUCAAAUUCGCCGGAGCUUUUUUUGGAGGGGCAAAAAACUAAAGAAUGGCUUCUAUUGUCUUGUUAACUGGGAUGAAGUGUGCCGCCCCAAAUGUUAUGGUGGCAUCGGGAUCCAUAAUCUACAUUCCAUGAAUGUCGCCUUACUGAUGAAGAUGUUAUGGAAAUUCUACAACUCUCGCUCUCUACCCUGGGUUCGAUUAUUAAUCUAGAAACACUACAGGCGCAUGGCUCCAUCCCUGGGUGCGCCCAAACUUUCGGAUUGCUGCCCCAUCUGGCGAGAUAUUCUUUCCGUUGCAAUGCCCUUCCUAACCUCCGUGGAGUUUCAGCUCAGAAAUGGUAUUGCAACGUCGUUUUGGCAUGCACGGUGGUGUGGAGAACUAGCCCCUAGAAAUCGCUUUCCUAACCUAUUUGCUGUGGCUAAGCACUGGCAUCUCUUGGUCUCCGCCUGGUUCUGUCGCUUUGCCACUCGUGCAAAUUUGGGAUUUCCUGCCCCGCUUGGCCGAUUGGAGCACCUAGAGCUCCAACACCUCAUCACUUUGACACGCUCGUUUCCGAUCUCGGACAACAUCGACGACUCCCCUUCGUGGCGCUAGACCAACUUGGGUACAUUCUCGGUCCGAAGCGCUUAUGCUUUCUUAUCUUAUGAUGGCGUCACCAACUCCAAAAUCACUUUCCUCUGGAAGCUCAAGAUUCCACUAAGAAUCAAGAUUUUCUUGUGCCUUGCUGCGUGGAACAAACUUCUCACUGCCUGUUUUCUUGCCAAGCGGGGAUGGCAAGGACCCUCCAUCUGCGUCCUUUGCUACUCCGAUGCGGAAAUGAUUGAUCAUCUACUCUUCCUCUGCCCAUUUGCUAGAGACCUUCGGAACUUCCUGCUCGGGCCCAGCACGCGGAUGCAGCAGGUUUUGGCCAGCACAACUGGGCAGCUGGGGGAUCGUUGGAAAAGAGCUAGAGGAUGCCUAUCGAGGCAGCAACUGGCAUUCUUAGACGCGGCUUUCUCUGCAUGCUCCUCGGAACUUUGGAACGAGCGGAACAGGCGGCUCUUCGACAAUCAUCUCAUGCUCCAUAGCGACUUGGGACAGAACAUUCUUUCCACAGUGCGACUGUGGAACGCGGCAUUGGGAGCGCCGGGGACCUAGAACAACUCACCACCGAGGCUAUAUCUGUCGCUGCUACUGCUGCGGGGUUUUCGCCACAUGCUAAGACGCCGAGGCCCCUCACCGUGCCCCAAUUAGCUCUGAUGUGCCUUGUUGUGUUUUGUAUGUUGUGUUUUGUAUGCCUGUGCUGGUUCCCCUCUACCCAACCUUGGAUCCUUCUUUGCCUAGCAUUUUUUUGUACCUCCCUUUCUCAAAUAGGGUAUAUCCCUGCUUAAUAAAAAAAAAAAGACACCAGAAUUUUUAAUUUUGAUAAUUAAAUUCUCUAAAUUUUAUAAAGUAGUUCAAUAGGCAUCUCUCUUCAACUAAAGUUACAUAUUAUGAAUUUGAUUGGGCCGUCUAUUUCGUAAGCAUCAUAAACAUUUAUUAUUUUAGACAAAAUCUAAUGAUUUAUUAAGAAAUACUGGCAAAAAAAAAAAAAAAUGUAAAACAAAUCUCCCUAAUAGACCAAUUUAAAGCUUCUAUCAAGUUUUUUUUUAUUUUUUUGUUAUCUUUGUUUAUUUUGUUAUUUUUUAUGUUAAAAUGAGUUCACUAUAUGUUCUAUCGCUUUUAAUUAAUAUUUUUUUAACAAGUUUCAUAUAAAAUUAUAAGUUAUUGCUUUUAGUGUAAACAAAUUGAAAAAAAAAGAAGAAUAGUUGAGGGGUGGUCGUUGAAAAAAAAAAGAAAUUUAAUAUAAUAUAAAGAAUGAAAUUUUUUUUUUAUAAAGUACAGUACCUUAGUGUGUCAUUUAAGUCAAGUAAAAAAUGUAAACUUUUGUUUACAAAAGAUUAAAUGAAUUUCAGGUGCUCUUUGUACAUUUUCCCCUUAAUCUAUAGACCUCUAUUAUUGGAUAUGAGCACAGUAAUUUCUCCCUAAAAAAAGUUUAGAAUGCAUCAGUUAUAUUGCUGAUAUGGUGUCCCCAAUCAAUCACAUUAUCCUCUUAGAUUCACCUGUUCUAUCAUAAUUAAUAAAAAAAUAGGAUAAACUUCAAAUACCACCCAUGUGGCUUCGUACUUUCUCACUUUAGUAUUUUGUGGUUUAAAAUAUAUAAAGUUAUUACCAUAUGGUUCCUCCAUUAAUAUUUGUUAAAUUAUAUACAAAAAACUUUAGAUACCCCACCUAGGUUUAUCGAAUUUUAACUUUGUCACCCUUUAGUUUUAACUCUGUCAUGAAUUUAACGAAAAAAAAAUUAAUGGAAUGAAUAAUAAAAGAAGAAAAAUAAAAUCAUAGGGUACUAAAGUAAAAAAAGUACGAAACCACGGAAAUAAUAUUUGAAGGUUUUUCAAAAAAAUAUUUUUAUUUUAUUUUUCUCUAGAGUAAAAGAAAAUAUGAUGUUGGUUGCUGAUUACGUGAUGUGUAAGCGUUGAAAGGUACACUUCCUCCGUGGACGUGGGGGAGGCCGGAUUAAUUCGCCGGUCGGCGAUAAUUGAGUGCUGUUGGUUGUUGCAGAAGGCGGACAAAUUUGACCCGUAAGCCUUCUCUAUCAGAAUUAAUGCCUUCGGCUUCAACCGAAUGAUUGGAGUCGCAGGUAUUUCGAGUUGCAACAAUCAAAAUAUGCGCAAGUUAAUAAAACCAACACUAUUGGAACUCCACUCAAAUAAAAUAACAAUCUAAUCAUGCGGGGUAAUAAAAUGUGCUGCACAAUUAACUCCCGAUAUCACAUUGUCGGCCGCCAACGUGAUCCCCGCGAAGUUAGAAAUUGUAGCACGGAGGACUUGAACUUAAUUAAGAGCUUAAUUAGGCAUAGCUUCACAAAGAGAUCACCCCCGUACCGACCACCCAGCAACGUAGACUUAAUUAAUGCAUGGCUUCUUAAUUUUGUCGCUCUGCGGCUUCAUUAACACAAGUUUAAUUGGAAUUCUAAUCUAAUUAGAUUUCUAAACACAAGUUUAAUAUUAGAUUCCGACUCAUAAUCCAUAUAUGCCAAUUUAUAUUCAAUCCCAAUUAGAUUAUAAUUUAACUCUAAUUUAGGUAACUACAAAUCAAACCAAAUUUAACAAAUAAAGAAGUAUUUAAGCGGAGAUUUUAGGGGAGUAGUCCUCUUCCAAAUUUUUAUUUUAAAACUAGACCUACUAAAUUUUUAUUUGUAAAUAUAGUCUUAUGAUAGAGAGAGAAAAAAAUAUUAAUAAAAGCGGCGAAUGAUUCACCGCAUUUGUUAAAUUUUACCGUCUUAUAAAAGCGGUGAACGGUUUACCGCUUUUAAAAGCGGUAAACCUUUUCUUCCUUCUUUUAUGUCUCUGUAACGAUAUUGGGAAGAGUUAUAAAAGCGGUGAAUGAUUCACCGCAUUUAAAUACGGUGACUCAUUCACCGCCUAUAUUAUUUAUUUUUUGAAAAACUCAAUUUAAUAUAUUGGAGGUCUAUUUUUAUAAUUAUUUUUUUUUAAAGAUUAAUUUUAUAAUUAUAAAAAUCGGUAGGAUUAUUUAUAAAAAAAAUUUCUCUUUAAGCACUAUGUGGCAGUAAUAAUUUCUCCCUCUGUACAAUAGCAGUGGCGCGCACAGGGCGCGUUUAAAAUUUGAUUGUCAAACUGCAUGUCCGACCAAAAUGCUUUCACAUGUAAUGUCCUCCAAAACGCAUUAUAUUUUCUCCCCUCUUCCGAGAAGAAUACAAGAAAGUACUUUUCGUGGAUCUUUCUUUGAUGCCUGCGCGCCAUUGUAUCUAUCUACUCGGCUGAUUGUUUCGACAUCUCGCUUUCCUCAUCCUCUAAUUUAUGCACUCUCGGUGUUUCAUCAAUUUGGCCUGAGUGGUGGUGAAGCCGAAUAUGGCUUUAACCUUCAUAGCCGAAACGGCGGCGACGGUGAUCAUCGAGAAUCUUGUCAGCAGGUGCUUUUCCUACCUCGAGGCGUGCCCGGCAGCUGGCGGCAUGCAGGACGAGCUCGAACAGCUGCAGCACGCCCUUCCGCAGGUCCAGGCAGUCUUGACUGCGGUCGAGGAGGGUGCGCCGGUCGUGGUGCGGAAGACGGCGCUGGAUACGUGGCUGUGGCAGCUUAGAGACGCCGUGGAGAACGCGGAGGACGUGCUCGACGAGCUCGACUACUACGAGUUACAGAAGACUGACAAGGUGCGUGGUAUUCUAUCUGACCGCAUGAGAAUGUCUGAUAGUUUCGUUAAUGGUAUCUUUAGCGAUGACACACUGAAGCGGUUGAGGGAGGCCGUCAAGGGGCUGGGUCGGGUCAUUGCCGAUAUGGGCUCACUCCUUCAUCUCGUUACUGGGUUUUAUGGCCCCGGCGCUAAGAGUCAGAAACUCGAGGAAAUUAAGAAUGCUCGCGAGACUAGCUCCUUGUUGACCGAAAGUGAGGUGCUCGGACGAGAGGAGGAGAGGGACCUAAUAGUUGAAUGGCUGAUCAAACCAGGAGAUGCUGACAUCGAUCUCUCUGCUUUUACAAUUGUUGGUAUGGGUGGGCUCGGGAAGACUACUCUUGCUCAACUAAUAUGUCAUGACAAAAGAGUGCGAGAGUACUUCGACCUGAUUAUGUGGGUUUGCGUUUCUCAGGAUUUUGAUGUAACUGUGAUAACAAGAAAGAUUUUACAAUGUAUGAGUAAUGUGAAUUUUGGUGACAAGGGUCUACAUGUACUCCAUGAAAAUCUUAAACGAAAACUAACGUCGAAGAGGUUUUUGCUCAUACUAGAUGAUGUUUGGAACGAUGAUAAAAUGGCGGAGUGGGAGAAAUUGGUUGCUCCUUUGAAAUUCGGACAGAGAGGAAGCAAGAUCCUGUUGACAACUCGGAUGGGUUCAGUUGCGGAUAAGGCGGCAAAAGUGAUGAAAUGCAAGCGGGAACCAUUAAAUCUAAAUAAGUUGGAGGAGAGCGACUGUAUGUCGCUUUUCAAUAAGCAUGCGUUCCUCGGUGUGCGCCCUCAUGAUUAUAAAAACCUGCAGUUGAUCGGCGAGCAGAUAGUGAAGAAACUUGGAGGAAGCCCAUUGGCAAUAAAGAUCAUGGGAGGAAUACUGAAUUCCUGCAUGGACUAUGAAUAUUGGAAGAAAAUCUUGGAAGAAGACAUCAUGAAAUUACAACAAGGAAAGGACGGCAUCAUGACAAUUUUGAGAUUAAGCUACGAUCACUUGCCCGCAAACUUACAACUCUGCUUUAGAUAUUGCAGUUUAUUUCCGCAGGAUCAUGUGUUUAAGAGGAAAACAUUGGUCAAUAUGUGGAUUGGUUCGGGUCUGAUUCCACAAUCUAUUUGUGGCAGGCAAAGGCAGCCAGAGGAUAUCGGAAAGGAGUAUUUAAAUCUUCUGACAAGAAAAUCAUUCUUUACAUGCAAAACCAGCGAUAAUAUGUUGAAAAUUACUAAAGAGUAUUUUAUGCACGAUCUGCUCCAUGACCUAGCACAAUCAGUUUCUCUAGGAGAAUGCAUCAGAAUAGGAGGUGACGUCGUAGGAAUUACUAUUCCACGAACAGUUCGACAUUUAUCUAUUGAAAUGGUCAAUCUUCUUUCCAUCAGAGCGAUCUCCAAUCUUAAGAACGUGCGCACUCUAAUCAUUUCUGUUAAAGAGUAUAAUAAGCAUAAUGCACUUCAUGUACCUGAAUUUAUGAAGAUUAUAAAAGGGUUUAAAAAGUUACGCUUAUUGAUCUUAGAUGUGAAUAUUAUUAACACUUAUAAACUGCUUGAUGCACUUAGUAGCUUGAUACACCUCCGCUACCUAUCUCUUUCACUGGAGGAUGUUGUGGAUGAAAGUAUUAAAUAUGAUGGCUUGACCAAUGAAAGUAUUGAAUAUGAUGGCCUGACCAACUUGGUCAAUUUGCGUUCAUUACAUGUUCCCUAUCUCGUGACAAACAAUAUUCCUUAUAUUAGCAAACUACCCUUCAUCCGCAAAUUAGAAGAUUUUUUUGUCCGAGAGGAGAGUGGCUACAAAAUCAGCGAACUAAAGAACCUAAGAGACCUUCGUCAUCUUCACAUUAGUGGACUUAGAAAUGUGAGGAGUCCUGAAGAAGCCAUUGAGGCCAAUCUAAAUGAGAAAAAACAUCUCAAAUCACUAUCAUUGGAUUGGUCCACAUACCGCUCCAAUAGCGCAGAGGCAGAUGAACAGCUCCUCGAUAACCUUUGCCCUCAUAUCAAUCUCAAGAAAAUGCACAUCGAACAAUACCAAGGUGCUAAAUCUCCAUGCUGGAUGACAGGUCUGUCGCUCAUCAAUUUGACAUCUAUCAAACUGAUGCACUGUAAACGAUGGGAGCACCUCCCGCCUCUUGGGCAGUUUUCUUCGCUCCAACUUCUUUUCUUGUGGGGACUGCAUGCAAUAAAGCAAAUGGAUUGUUCAGUCUUUGGAAGCAGUAGUGGAUGUGCCUUUCCAUCAUUGAAGCACUUAUGGUUACGGGAUAUGCCUAACUUGGAGGAGUGGAUUGGAAUUGAUGAUAGGUGCAUUUUUCCUCAACUUCAUUCUAUGUAUAUUGCUGAUUGCCCUAAUUUGAGAGGAAUUCCUACUCUGCAUUAUGGUCUAAGAGAUUUGCAUAUUUCUAAUGUCGGAUUGACCGCUUUUCCAACAAUAAAUCAAGAUUCCGCAAACAACAAUGUAAGUGCUUUAUUUUAUAAACUUUAAAUUUCUCUCCUGAGGUUUAGCUCAUUUUCACUUGCCCUCCUGUAGUUCAAAAAAAGUAUCACUUUGCCCCCUCCCAUGGUUUAGCCGCUUAUUUUCACUUUGUCAUCCCGUGGUUCAAAAAGUUACACUUUGCCUCCUUUGGUUUAGUUUAUUUUUCACUUUGCUAUCCUAUGAUUUUUUAAACAUUUUUAAUUUGCCACGCUAUUUUAUAUAGAAUUUUUUUGCUGAAAUAAAAAUUAAUCUACAGGAGGGCGAAGUAAAACUUUUUGAACCACAAGGUGGCAAGGUGAAAAUGAGUUAAAUCACACGGUAGCAAUUUGAAGUUUACUCUUAUAUCAAAACACCAAUUCGAAUUUGCAUAGCUGUGGUUGCCGAGACUUAAAUAUCUUUUACAUCUUUCCUUUCUUGCAGCAGCAAGAACAUUUUCAGGCUCUUGAGAGGUUGGUCAUCGGACAAUGUGAGAAGCUCGAAUAUUUUCCAACAGAUUUUUUUGGGAAAUUCAAUGCCAUAAAAUCCCUGUGUGUAGAGAAGUGUCCGAAGUUGACAAAACGUGGGAUCUCAGACAUCCAAGUGCCCUCUGUACUCGGUGAUCUCACAAUUGGGUCAUGUGGCGACCUUGAGGCGCCAUUGCUGUGGUCAGCGAAUUUAACCUCUCUUACUGAGUUGAAAUUAUUCGAUUGUGCAAGGAUAGCAUCCCUUCCCCCAGCACAAGUGUGUGCACGAUGGACGAUGCUUUCCCGUCUAAUGAUAAAGAACUGCAAAGAACUGUCAUCAUUUGGCGGAAUACAAGCUCUCAUAUCCCUCCGAUAUUUAGAUAUUGAAGGGUGUGACAAGCUAAUUGAAGUUGCCCUGCUGCUGCAGCCUCCGUUCCCAAACGAUGUCGGCCGAAAAAAGAAUGCUGCAGGACUGGACUGCUUUUUGAAGAAUGGCAGACUAUCAAUUGACCACCACGCGCUCCUGCUCAUGGAGCCAUUGAGAAGUCUGACCUUCGUCAGUGUUUUCUAUUUCAAUCCCGCUUCGCAACCCACCAGCUUACCUGAGGAAUGGCUACUGCAAAAUCACGCUGCCCUCGAAAAGAUAAUCAUAUCGGGCGCAUGCUCCCUUCAGUCCCUACCCCGGAGCAUGACAAAAUUGUGCUCCCUCGAGUUUUUGGAAGUGUGGAAUGCUAACCUCAUCCAGUCACUUCCAGAUCUGCCUAAUUCCCUACAUACUCUACGCCUCAACUGCUGUCACCCUGUGUUGAAGGAGCGAUGCCAAGAGAAUAUAGGCCUUGAUUGGCCCAAGAUUGCCAACAUCCGUUAUCUGAGGAUUGCAUAGCAUUAUUUGCAGAUCGUGAUGAUGAUGCAUAUUAAUUGUAAGUACACUCUACCGCCCUUCAUCUCGUAACCCUUUGUUGUAAAUAAUGCAAUUCAUUUUGGUCUUAAUUAAUGAACUACAUACAUCUCAUUCAGUCUUAACAAAGUUAUCUCAUUUCUUACGGGAUUAAUUGCUCACCUUUUUUCAGAUAAUGCAAGAGUAGCCAGGUUCCUUUUUAAUUAGCAUCCUCAAUGGAAUUUUUACAUUUUGUACUCUCAUUUUAUGAUUUGGAUACAUAAAAAGGGGAAUAAAGCACUAAUUGCCUCCUAUAAUACAUUGUGCUCGCAGGACGGAUUGGUCUUAUAUAUAAAACAAACAAUGUAAUGAAUAUAACAUAUGUUAAUUGCUAGCAUGUCAAUUGCUUUCUAAAGUUAAAUAUGACUAAUUAUGCAGUAAUUUCUCUCUAGGAGUGCAAAUAAGACUAAAGUCUCGCUGAUGAGUUAGAACAAAAGAGAAGCAUGACAAAAGCUUUUUAAGUUUGUUAAAUUUCUUGUUGCAGGGGUGAUGAUGCAUAUUGUACGUACAUUGUUAGAUGUGACUUGAAAUUGAUAAUCGACUUCAGUUCGGGGUUUCGACUUGCCGGCAGUUUCGCGGUGCGGCCAAAUUGGAAAAUAAAGUUGUGAAGGAAAAAUGAAUAUCUGUGGUGGAUAGCAGAGGGCUCGGGCCAACCCGCGGUACGGAUCGGAUCCGAAACCGUUAAGAGUUUCCUUUUCAUUUUUGCCCUAAAGGCGAUAGAUCAUGGUCGGUUGUAUCUUGAACAUUGUAUUUCCCUUUUUCGACAGUGAAGUUCUCUCCUCCCUCGCCCGUGGUUUUUCCCUGCAAAGAGGUGUUCCAUGUAAAUCUGUGUGUUCUUCUUUUUCUGCUAGUGGUUUGUUUAUUUCGUGUUCGUCAUUUUCGUUUUCCGUUUGUGCGUUUGUCAUAACAUACACUUUACCGCCCUUCACCUCGCCCAUGCUACCCUUUGUCAUUGAUGCAAUUCAUCCUGGUCUUAAUGAACAAGUUCUCAUUCAAUCCUAACAAGUUUAUCUCAUUUGUUACAGGUUUACUUCCUUUUUUUCUGGACACUGCUCUUUUUUGGAUAAUGCAAGAGCAGCCAGGUUCAUAUUUAACUUAGCAGACUCGAAAGAAUUUAUACUUUUCACCCUUAAUUUACAGUUUGGAUACUGGUCAGUUGUUACAUCUAUCUUGCUAGGCCUGAAUAUUGAAGCAAUGGAUUAGUCAUGUAAGACAAACAAUGCAAUGAUUAUUAUAAAUAUAUGUUGCCCCAGUAAUUACUUAAUUUCUACAAUUAAACAUGACUAGCUAGUUGUCCAGUAAUUCUUUCCAGGGGAAAUUAGAGAAGCGCGACAAAGCAUUCGAGUUGUUUCAAGGAAUUAAGGAUUAGGACAUCCUUCGUCUUACUGCGUGCAUGUGUUCUUCUAUUUUCUUGGUGCAGGUUUAGAGAAAGACUCCAUGUAAUAUUGCAUUUUCUUUCUUUUUAUUUUCUAUUGCCAGAUGAGUACUUGAAAAUGUUUAAGAAAGAAAUUAUCCUCUUUUGGAGCAAAUUAAGAGGUUAAGCUUAAAUGCUUCAACUCUGUUUCCCCUCACUUUUUCUGCAUUUAUCCGAAAGAUAUUUUAAUAUUGUUUGAUUCAUGUAAAAGUAGCAAACCUCAUCGCAUGGUGAGCUUGUUUUGUUUGUGUAUUAUCUGAUGAAGUUGCUGAGCUUCUUUGAAGUAGCUUAAAAACCUAAUUUGGAAACUGCUUAUUUCAAACUAUGUUUAUUUAGCAGCAUAACAAGCAUCCAGAUUAAGCUUGUGAACUUAAUUUCUGCAGUAUAAAUUAUACAUUAAGUUUUGUUAAACUUAUUUUAAGUUUCUAGUGCAGGUUUCAUCGACAUCUGGAGUAAAUUUGGUAGGCGUGCUCCGUCGAAAAGACUCGGUCAGACUCUUUGUAAAAGGAAAAUGACGGCUACACUGGAGGCGGCAUGAACUCGCAACCAUAUUCUGCAGCUACCAUAUUUUAAUCUCUUUAUCAGAUUUUUUUUAAAAAAUUUAUUUUCCUAAUGCAUUGAAGACAGAAAAACACAUUCGGAACCGAACCAUUUCGGUAAUUGUUGCUCAUGUUCAGUUCAGUCUUCAAUCUGUAUAAGUUUUGUUUUCAUUCGGAUUUUUCGAACAAUGCAUUUCAAUGUACCUUUUCUGUCUGUACUGAGUACACUCCAUUGUGCAGCUCCUUAUUUCCCCCCCUUUUUUUUAUUUACAUUCUCUUAACUUCUUUUUUUUUUCCGAGUUAUUUUAGUUUGUUCAAGUGAAAACUUUGUUAAGUUUCAUGGUUCUAUUAACUGUCGGUUGAUUCAGUUUAUUUGCUAAAAGCUGAUUAAAACCAUUGAAGUAUGGAAAAUGCUUCUUGUACACCCCAAAAUGGGGUGUACAUCUUACACCUACAAUUCUAGAGUUGAUAAAAAUUGAAUUGGUUUUUAGUAAAAUUUUAAAAAAUUGAUGUGACAAGAAUGACUUUAGGAUAGAGUGAGUGUAAAAUGUACACCCCCCUUUUAGAAUGUAUCUGUAGCAUUGCUCUUAAAGUAUUAGUUUUUUUAAAUAAUUCAAUGCUUUUUGAAAGUAAUUUUUAGUAGUUCUACGCGAAAGCAAACUGUAUGCACCGCCCAUAUAUAUGAUCCCAAAAGUUUGAUCUCAAAUAUCUAAAAAGCAUAUAUUGGAAAAAUUAUGAAUUUUGAAAAGGGUAAACUUCAAAUUGGCCACUUGCCGUUUUAGCUUUUUUUUUAUUUUGCCAUUUCAUUUCAUGGUACAAAGUGUUGCAUUUUACUGUUAUGUGGUUUACCACAUAUUUCACUUUGUCAUCAUUUAAUUAUUUUAAAAAUUUUUUACUUUGCUACUUAAUUGGAUAUAGAAUUUUUAAUAAAUAAAAAUUAAAUCAUCUGUGAUUAACCGAACGGGGGACAUCCCAACCCGCUGGAAUCGCAAUAGAUAUAUACUGUCGGGAACUACUAGAACACUAUUCGACCUCUGUUUUACUGCAGCAUGUUGGGCUCUUUGGAAAGAGCGAAAUUCGAGGAUCUUUCGCAAUCGACGAGUCACGCACGAAGAAAUGGGAAAAUCCAUUAUGGCUGAAGUACAGUUCUGGAGAUCCACCUGGGGGGGAUGAUUGAGUUUGGAUUGUGGGUUCAACUUAUGUAAUUCAUUUUUCUGUAUGUGCUGAUUUUACUCUUUGUUCCACUGUACUCCAAAAAUAGGGUAAAUCCCUGUUUAAUCAAAAAAAAAAAUUAAAUCAUCGCAGUAGAGCAAAGUGUAAUUUUUUAAACUAUAGAAUGACAAAGCAAAAAUGUGCUGUACUUCAAGGGGGCAAUUUGAAGUUACCAAAACCAACCCUCCUGUGUCGAGUAGUCUAGAGAAUUAAUGGUAAAAAAAAAAAGAGAAAAUUCUUUUUCAAUUUAUAAGAAAUCGGUGUCAAUUUUUUUUUUUUUUUUUUUUUUUUUUUUUUUUUUUCUGUACAUCGGCCAAUUAAAUACAAACGGUGCAGCCAAUAAUUAAUUCCCUUAUGCAAUUACUUCUACAUUAAUAUGAUUUCAAUGAGUAUCUUUUUAAAAUCCAAGCCCAAUUAAACUAACGUGAUGACUAUAUAUUAAAAAAAAUUAAUACAAUAUUUUGAAAAAAACAAAAAGAAAGCUUAUUACUGUAACAUCAAGUAAAAUCAAAAAUCAAUAAUUGUCUAUAAUUCACCCAUAAAGUACUAGUUAAAUUUUAGACUAAAAUAUAGAAAAUUUUUCUGUAAAUAUAUAUCAUGUCAUUUUCUUCUUCUAUUUUGAAAAAAUCUGCAUUAUUUUUCUCUCUGAAUUUUAAGUUUAUGCACUUGGGCCCCAUUGUUACUUGUUAGGUUUCGUCACUGGUCCAUCUAUUUCUUAUAAUUUAUAAUUGAAAAUACCGAAUAGAUACUUAAAAGUACUGAAAAUAUAUUAAAAAAUUAUUUUUUCCCUCCAGAAUGAGUAAGAAUAGUUUUGUCAUUUCACCCACUCCGUUAAUGUUAUAAUUCUCUGAAGACAUAUUUAAAAUUUUAAAAGAAAAAAAUAUACAAUUUUAAAAAAUAGAAAAAAUAUCUUAAUCUUAAUUUUAGUCUAAAUUUUAAUCUUAAGACCUCUAUCACGGAAGUAGCUGAUGUAAUUAUAUGCAAACAAUAAUUUCUCCCUCAGAGAGGGUUUGGAAUAGGGAUGUCAAUGGGUAUGGAUACCCGAAAUUUAUCCGAACCCGAACCCGAAUGAAACGGAUAUAUCCGAUGGAUAUGGAUAUGGAUUCGGAUAUGGAUAUCAAAAAUAGAAACCCGACAGAUAUGGAUUCGGAUAUGGAUUUUGACUGUACCCGACCCGAACCCGAACCCGACCCGAAUCCAACCCGAACCCGAAUUAUUUUGUAUUAUAUAUAAUAUAUAUACAAAUUUGAUGUUAUAUUUGAAUUUAUAUUUUAAAAAUUUAGAUUUAAUAUAAUAUAUUUUGAAAUAUUGAAAAAAAAAAAUUGUUUCGGGUUCAAAUUUUCAGGUUCGGGUUCGGGUUCAGGUUCAGGUUUCGGUCGGGUUCGGAUUUGGAUAUAGAUUUUUAAAAUUCGUCGGGUUCGGGUUCGGGUUCGGAUCUCGGGUUUGGAGUCGGAGUCGGAUUCGGGUUCGGAUUUUUAAAAAUCCAUCCCGAAUCCGACCCGUUGACAUAUCUAGUUUGGAAGUUGGAGAGGACGGAUCAAUUCCUCUGCCGACAAUAAUUGAGUUUGGUUGAUUACGACUGAAGGUAGACAAAUUUCCUGCAUAUUGACUUGUAAGUCUUCUCUGCGAAACUCUUCUUUCAUUUCCUCCCCUCUCCCAAAAAGCACUCAAGAAAUUUCUCUUCGCCAUUUUUUUUUUUUUUUGUUAUGUACUAAAUACCUGUUAAAGAUUGUGAAACAAUCCCUUGGUUUUAAAAACUUAAAUUGCUACGGAAUGAUAUUCUAUUUUAAUAAUUAUAUUCAAUACUCCUUUUUGUUACUAGACUCCAAUCCCUUUUUAUAGGCACCUCUCAAAACUGAAGUUACUAAUUAUGCAUUCAAAUUAGUCGUAUAUUUCGUAAGCACCACAAAACCAUAUAUAUAUAUAUAUAUAUAUAUAUAUAUAUAUAAAGUUGGACUGGGCUACUAUUAGUAGCAAAAUUUCAUUGUUGCUACCAGUUUUUUAGCCUUUGGAUCAACUCUUUCAUUAUUUCUAACCAUUGGAUUAAAUAUUAUAACCCAGUAGGGACCACUCAACCCUAGGGGGACUACUCAACUCUAACCGACUAAUAUCAUCCCGACCCUACAAUUUUUCAUCCAAGGGUUAAAAACUUGAUAGCAAAAAGAGCGUUUUACUAUUAAUAGUAUUCCAGCCUAAUUAUAUAUAUAUAUAUUGUCACGCCCCGGAUUACACGUUCCCCGGGCACGCCGACAAAUCCGCCGUAUACAAAGAAAUUUUCCCUGUAUACGAAGCGAUAGCUGUACCUGUAAAUCAAACACUACUACGAACAGUAGUAGAGAGCUGCUAGAGAAAACUGAAGCUAAAUAAAACAGAGUUUCAUAUACAUAGUUCAGAUCCAAAAUACAGAGCUACUCGCACUGGCGAGUUAAGUCAACUAUGUACAUAAACUCGAAACAAAACAUCUACCUGCAGUAGGGCACCUCUAGCUCAGCACGUCGGGUAGGGCUCUAACUCGCGACGCCCUUGCCUCGAUCCUGGUCCGCAGACGGUGCAGCAGCCGGAACCUGUGGCUCUGCAAAAACAUAGGUAACAACUGGGCGUGAGAACUACUGUAAAAACAAGUAGUCCUCAGUGGGUACCGCCCAAAACAACAUCGGUCACCCACUAAGUCUACAGAAGGGAGCAAGGAUAGAAGGAAAGCAGGAAGCAUACUCUACCGCUAUCAUCCACUACACUAUCAUGCUCUACACUAACCAACUGUAGGAAAUGUCAAAUCUGACCCAAUCCAAAUCGGGACUGUAAGCAUACCCGUCCCCGGGACUGUGAAUACACCCGUCCCUGCCCCGUUGCGACUAUCGGGCUCUAUCCACUCUAACUGGUCCGUGGAGAGCAAGUCCAACUGGCAUGAGCGACACCAACGCAAAAGCACAAGCCUGACUCCGGAGUGGCACUCGUGGGCGCUACCCAACCGAGUAUGCAGCGUAUCUCUGUCGAGCUCAAUCAGGCUCCAACUAGCCAAAGUCAAGUAAUCGACUCAAACUGGUCUAACAACCAACAGGUAACGUGCCCUCGGCACAAUCUGACGCCAAAAAGGCGAUACGGGUCCACCGUCAACUCUGACGGCACCCAACAGUCCGAAACGACCUGAACGACCCUGUAAAAAUCCACUCGGCGAACCAGCACGAGUGUAAAUACAUUCUAAACUACCUGGAGUACUCGUCUCGAAGAAACUGCGACAGUACAAUUUUCUAACGGCUCCUAGAGCUAAAUCAGGUAGUUAAAACUGGUGACAGGUCCAAAUCGCAGGUUUUCUCCUAAUUCAAUUUCCAAGUCCAACAUGUAUAAUUUAAAUAAUUAUAAAACAUGCUCAAAAUUCAGUUCUCACAUUCAAGCACAUAACCCAUGAAUUUGAGCUAAACUAGAUUACCAAAAUUCAGAUCUAUACAUGUCGACGAUUAUGAACUUAGGAGUCGAAACCGAUGUAACCCACCUCGCUCGCUAAUCCCUGGCAGCACGGAACACCCUCGGCUGCAACACCACCUGCUGGAUUGACCAAAAAUGCCCGAGUCUCGAAAUCGAGCGAACUCCAAACUAAAAACGCCAAAAUUCCUCAAUUCAGUCCAAAAUCCACAGCAGCUGAGUAGAAACGGGAUUCGACCGAGCUAACCUUCACCAAAAUUCACAAGUAAGGGCUUCGUGGAUUCCUCUCGCAGUCCCGAAUCCAACGAACCAAGUCUCGUCGCAAUCCGAUGCUCCUACGUCGAGAACGAGCUGAAAUACUAACAGUCGACGGUGGAUUUCAGCAAACAACAAUUUACCGAGAAGAAAUAGAAAUACUUGCUCAAAAUCCAGGGAAGUGCUGAAUUACCCACCUCGACAGCGUCGAACCUCGGUGCGACGUCAAGAACAGUGAAGACGCUCCCUCGCCCGGCCUCCUCGCAAAGCUCCGGCAACAAGCGCGCUCGGACGGCUCGCGGCGCGACGUCGGCGACGGAAUCCCCAACCGGAUUUUCAACCAACACCUAGAGAGAGAGAGGAGAAGAAGAUGGAGCAGAGCAGAGAAAUACUCUCUCUCUCUCUGCUCGGACACCUAAAAGGAGAGGGGAGGUGAGGGAGAUACAAACGAGGUGAGAUUUUACUGUUUUAGCCCUCUACCUACUCCCUUGUACCGGUACACGGGCUCCUGUACCGGUACAAGAGCCAACCCGAGAGCAGCUAAAUCUGUGCGCGUAGCUUGUACCGGUACAGAAAACCCUUGUACCGGUACAGCAAGCAUUCCCCGCGCUGGUUGUACCGGUACAGCAUAGUCUUGUACCGGUACAGCAAGCAGGAAAAUCUGCUAUUUUGCAGAUUCCUUCGCUGAAUGCUGCCCUCGCGUCGCACGGAGUCCGUUUUGCGUCUAUUUGACGCCAACGCGACUCGGACUUGUCCCGACACUCUCCAGAGCUGUCGACAAGCCCCCACAGCCAGACACCAGGGAUCUCACAUAUAUAUAUAUAUAUAUAUAUAUAGAGUCCGGCUACUAUGCUAUUAAUAGCACGAAACACUUGGUGCUACCAAGUUUUUCGCCGUUAGAUCUACCCUUUUGAUCAUUUUCAUCCGUUAGAUCAUACUAUUUAACCAACCACCCACUCAACCCUAGGGGACCCACAUCAUCCUAAUCGCACAUCUCUUAAUCCAAUGGCUAAAAACUUAGUAGCACCAAUGACUUGAUACUAUUAAUAGCAUAGUAGCCUAGUUCUAUAUAUAUAUAUAUAUAUAUAUAUAUAUAUAUAGAGAGAGAGAGAGAGAGAGAGAGUUCGGGUCCGGUGGUUUUAAAAAUAUCAAGCACUUAAUGCUCGUAAGCUGUUUACCGUUAGAUCUAUCUUUUGAUUAAUUUAGCCCGUAAAUUAUAUUAUCCGACCAACCACUCACUCAAACCUAUAAGACCGCUAUUAUCCUAAUGCUACAAAUCUUCAUCCAAAGGCCAAUCAAUUCCUCUGUCGGCAAUAAUUGAGUUUGGUUGAUUACGACUGAAGGUAGACAAAUUUUCUGGGUAUUGACUUGUGAGUCUUCUCUACGAAACUCUUCUUUCAUUUCCUCCCCUCUCCAAGAAGUAUUCAAGAAAUUACUCUUCGCCAAUUUUUUUUUUGUUAUGUACUAAAUACUUGUUAAAGAUUGUGAAACUUAUUUUUAAAGUUUAAAUUGUUACAGAAUGGUGUUCCUUUUAAUAAUUAUAUUCAACAUUCUUUCCCGCGGCUGAGCUUAUUAUUAUUAUUAUUAUUUUUUAAUAGGCUUGCAACGUGAAGUUGAAUUAAAUGAAUGAAAAUUAACUGAUGUAAGGAAGGGGCGCAGCGGCUUUGAGCAUGUCUCGCCAAAUAGGGCAGCAAUCCUUAGGACUCGGACAACCCAGGGAAGGAGCCAUGCGCCUAUAAUAUUUCUUACACUAGUUUUUUGGUUUGUUUCUUUUCUUUGGGUGAUCGUUCUAUCCUGUCUUGUUUAUGAUUCGGCAACCCCAUCUGAAAUAGGGUAUUCCCCUGUUUAAUCAAAAAAAAAAAAAUUUAAAUGAAUGAAAAUUACUAGACAAGGGCCCGGCGGGAUUCAAACUCUGAACCUUCUAUUCUGAUAUUAUAUUAAACAAUCUGAAAUGAUCAUUAUACUCUAAAAACUUAAGCUAUCGGAAAAUAGUGUUAUGUUUGGGCUCAAGGCUUUUUACGAGGUUCGAGGUGUGGAUUUGAUUUAAAUAGGGAAAAAAAAAAAUAAACGCAUGUUUGGUAGUCGAAAUAAAGGAUUACUACUUAUUCUGCGUAAGAAUUUUCUAGUGUAAUUGUAAAAAAAGAAUUUGAUUUUUUCUCCUUGAAAUAUCCUAAUAUUCGUGAUUUGGAUAGUAUAAUCUAUAUUUCACCUACGAGGUGAUUUAUUUAUUCGAGAAACAACUUGAAUGCUAAGUGUACGUAAUAUCUAAUUUAGACGUUUGAUCACACUUUUCAUCCACCAAAUAUAUAAACUUCUCAAAUAUAUAACGAAAAUAUAUCGAACAAAACAUUCAUGUAUCCAGACAUGACCAAAUAGAACAAAGGUGUAAAAGGAACUAGAAGAAAAGUGUGCGGAGAAAUUGUUCUAUAUUUUCCAAUAAGACCGCAAAAUUUAUAUAUGAUAAUUUUUUACAAAUAAAAAUCAAAUAUUUUUUCAUCACAUAUUCUUGCCGUGGUAUCACUCAAUUUCAGUGAAGUCUAAAAUAUCUACAAAGGUGCGGUGGAUAACAAAGAAAUAUUUAAACAUGCAUGUCUUUCAAAACUUUGCUACUUUAUUUGUGCAGCUUGCAUUAUAUUUCCUCCCCUCUUCUAAGAAGCAUACAAGAAAUUACUCUUUUUGGAUCUUUCUUUUGACUCCUGCUAUUAUUGCUAGCUACUCGACGGUACAAAGCAAUUCAAAUUAGAUAAAAUUUAAAUAAAAAAUUAUAUUUAUCAUCAGGAGCAAUAUUAGUUCUUCUAAUUUAAACUUUAAGUCAUUUAUUAUUAUUUUUUUCAUUUAUUUUGAGACUACUCAGUCACUAGACAAAUAAAGUCAAAAAAUUAUAAAAUUUGAUUUCUAGAUAAUUUCAAUAAGAGAUAACUUCAAAAAACCCCCCCUGUGGUUUUGCAUUUUCUCACUUUAGUACCAUGUGGUUUAAAGUGUAUCAAUUUGUCCCCCUGUAGUUUUAUUAUCAAUUUUAUUAUUAUUUUUUCUUAAAUCAGUGACAAAGUUAAAAAUUAAAGGAUACUAAAGUAAAUAUUCGAUAAAUCUAUGUGGGUAUCUGAAGUAUUUUUGUAUAUAGUUUAACGAAAUAUUAAGAAAAAAGCUGUCGAAAAGAUAAAAACAAAACCACAAGGGGGCAAAAAAAAAUUUAAAAGCAUGUAGGUCUCUGUGCUUUCAAAAGCAUAAUAGCCUUGCUCGAUAUAAUAAAACUCUUUGAGGAAAGAAACAUUACAAUAUAACAAAUAAAAAUAAUACUAAAAUACAUUGCAGUAGAGUGCAAUUAAGCCUUGUUUUUACUAAAAUACAGUGCAGUACAGUACAGUAGAGUGGUGAUCUUUGGCACUUCUUUUCUGCAAGUUCCUAAUUAAAGCAUUCCCUUUUCUUCUUUUUUUUUGGAUUCCUUGUUCUCUGUUUUUUUGUUUGGAUGUGAAGGUUUCCAAAUGGUUGAUUGAUCAACUUCUUGACUAGUUUUAUAGAGCGAGUCUUCCAAGCAUCUUUAUUUCUUUGAAAGUAAAGUGGGCAUAUUUAUGGGGCCCACUUUACUUAAUAAAGUUUUCAACUAUUAAACGUUAUCAAGAAUAUCCCACAGCAAUUUGCCCCACCAAUAUGAUAAGAUUGAGUUGAUUUAGGGGGUGUGUGGUUGGUUUCUGAAAAAGGGUAAUUGUUUUUUUUUUUUUUUGUUUUUAAUUUCCUAAAAAGCAGCUUUUCACCUUAAUUUCUUUUCUUGGGGGAUCAAAUUAAUAAAACAGGCCAUACUCUAUUUAUUGCUUUGCCAUGCAAAAGUCUCCACGAUUCCAUUCUCAAGUUUCUCCGAAACUCAUUCCUCCUCAAUCCUUUCUUCUUUGCAAGCUGAACCUCUCUUCUCUCAUUCUCCAAUUUCUGCACUCCAGGAUCGAGUUUCAUCAAUUUGCCUGAGUAGCGGUGAAGUCGAUCAUGGCUCUAACCUUCAUAGCCGAAUCUGCGGCGCCGGCGAUCAUCGAGAAUCUUGUUAGCACAUGCUCAUCCUACCUCGUGGCGUGCCCGGCGCCCUGAGGUGUACCUGUUAUGCUUAAAGUCGGCAUAUUUUGAUUUACGGGGUGGGGUAAGUGUUUGAUUAAUUCUGAAAAAAUAUUUUUGAAAAUAAUUUCCCAGCUGAAUUUAUUAUUAUUAUUUUUUUAGCUUGUUUAGUUUCAAAAUUUUAUCCGAGAGUUGAUUUAGGGGGUGUGUGGUUUCAAAUUUUUUUAAACAAAAUAAAAAUAAAAAUUGGGGAAUCAAAUUAAACACCCACUUAAUUGGUGGGGGGCUUAAUUAAUUUUGUUGUCGAAUAAUUAAAGCAGCCAUACUCUAUUUGUUAGUGGAUGUCCUCCACGUUGGAUGUCAGCAUGCAAGAACUUAAUUAUUCCUCCUAAUUAAUCUUUCUUCGUUGCAAGCUCAACCUCUCUUAAUUUCCUCUUUCUCCAACGUUUUUCACUGCAGGAGCUUGAUCAAUUGCCCGAGUAGUGGUGAAGUAGCCAGCUAGUAGUCAAAUCGGCUAAAUUACAUGGUUACCUUCUGAACUUUUGGUGGAGUUUCACUUUACCUCCUAAACUCAUAAAAUGAACAUUUAAUAUUCUAAAUUCUAAAUAUUUUAUUCUUAUUAUUCUUUUCGUCAGUUUUUUAUUAAUAGAACUUGACGGUAAACUGAUGGAAUGGAUAACAUGAAUUAAAUAUUAAAAUUUAGAAUGUUAGAUUCCAUUUUAGGAGUUUGGAGUUAAAGUGAAUUUCCGCCAAAAGUUCUGAAGGGUAACAAUGUAAUUUAUUCUAUAUAUGUAUACACUAUUAUUUUUUAUGGAUGUUACUAAACUAUUUUUUUAUGCUAAUCUCCAUAUUACUGUUAAUAAUUCUAUUAUUUUAGACAAAAUUGAACAACUUAUUCAGGAAUAUUGGUUGAAAAAUAGGGAAAAAAAAUUGUAAAAUGAAUCUUCCUAAUUGACUCAUUGAAAGCUUUUAUCAAGUUAUUUUUAAUCCUUUUCAUUAUUUUUAUUUUUUUUGUUAUUUUUUCUGUCAAAAUGAGUUGAAUAUAAUUACUCUGUCACUUUUAUCCAGUAUUUUAUAGCAUCUUUCAUACAAAUUAUAAGUGGAGAAAUGAUUCGAUACUUUAUUAUUAAAAAAUAAAAUAGAUCUUAGCCGUUGAUUAAUAGAGGGUAAAGAUGUAAUUUUAAUAUUUAGCAAGUAAAUGGAUUACAUCAUUCGAGGUUAUUUCGGUAAUUAAACUAGACAACAUUUAAAGAAACUUUUAAUUGAUAUCCUAAAUUUAUACAUUAAUUUGCACUAAUUUAGAAAAUUGAUUGAUUAUCCUAAUUUAGGCAUUAAUUAAGCAUUAAUUUACGAAUUUAGUUUAGAAAUUUACAAAUUUAGUUUAAACAUAAAAAUUAAAAAGAUUAGGAUUACUAUUCAGAAAAAAAAAAUGGUUAGAAAUUUGAAUUCGAACCCGAUUAAUAAUCACAAUAUCAAUUUCCGAACUCGACGGAUUUCAAAAAUUCAUAUCGAAACCCAAAACUAACCAGUUUUUCGAAAUCCAAAACCAAAUCCAAACCGGAAGACGGGAACCCGAAAUAAUUUUUUUUUACCAUAUUUCAAAAUAUUUUAUAUUAUAUUUAAAAUUUUAAAAUAUAAAUUUGAAUAUAAUAUUAAGCUUUAUAUAUGAUUCGGGUUGGAUUCAAGAUGGACAUAGAAAAAAUUCAUAGUUGGUUCACAAAAUAAUUUCAUGUUCUUGUUGUCGAAUAAUUUAAAAAUUUCUUAUAUGAAAUGCCAAAUAUAAGAGGAAAGAUAGAGAGAGAAAAAAGAAAUAAAGAGAGAAUAAAAAUUUUAAUAAUAUACUAGAGAUAAAAUGACUAAAUUGCUCAUAUAUUAAAAGACAAAAAUACUCUUUUUUGAGAUACCUGGUGACCGGUAUCUCUCCUAAAAUGACCUGCUAUUGCAGGUCACAAUUUUAAGAAAAUUAAAUUUAAACCGUUGAACGGGAGUGAAUGAACAGUAACGAAAAAAAAAUAUAAAAGAAUUACUCUUAUUAGUUUAUUACUAAUAGUGUAAGCAGACUGGAAAAAAAAAAAAAGAAUAGUUGAUUUGUGCCUAAAAAAGAAAUAGUAUAAUGUAAAAAGCGAAAAAGAAAAAAUGAAAAAUACAGUAUCUUACAUUAUAAUUAAGUUAAGUAAAAAAAUUUAAGCUUUGAUUUACAAAAGAGUUUUUUUUUUUUUAAAAAAAUAGCAUACUAGCUGCUUCGUUUAUUUUAAUUAAAAAUAAAUUUAACUAAAAAUAUAAAUUAAUUGAAAUGAUUCAAAUUUGGGAACUUAGAUAUUAACAACCAAAAUCAUUAGGAAAGAGUUAAUUAAAGUUCAGAGGCUCUUUGUACAGUUUCCGGUCCCUUGUGUGAUCUAUAACCCUCUAUUAUUGGCUAUGCAGACAAUAAUUUCUCCCUCGGAGAGAGUGUGAAGUGGAGUGGGGCCGGGCAGAUUCCCUCUGUCUGGCAGUAAUUGAGUUUAAUUGGUUGGCUGUGACAGAAGGCAGACAAAUUUGACCGGUAAGUCUUCUCUGUGAAACACUUCCAUUUCAUUUCCUCCCCUCUUUCCGAGAAGCAUGCAAAGAAAUUACUCCUCCCCAGUUUUUUUUUUUUUUUUUUCUUUUCUUUUUUUGGGUAUGUCCUAGCUGUAUGCUUGUUAGAAAUUAAUUUGAAACAAACUGCUUCUCUCAAGAAGCUUAUUUGCUCGCUACUGUUACUGAAUUAAAGUGGGCAUAUUUUGAUUUAGUGUUUGAUUUCUGAAAAAAUUAUUUUUGAAAAUAAUUUUCUAGCUAAAUUUAUUAUUAUUAUUUUAUUUAGCUUGUUUUGUUUCUAAAUUUUAUCCGAAAAUUGUCUUCCCUAUUCAAAAAAUAAAAAUUAUACUUUUUUUUUUCCCGUAAAACACUGGUUUUCAAUUUUUUUUUUGAAAAAAAAUUGGGGAAUCGAAACACCCACUUAAUUAAUGGGGGGCUUUUGUUGUCAAAUAAAGCAGCCAUGUGGCAAAUAAUAAAGAAGUAUGGAAACAGAAGUAUGUAAACACCAUGUGGCAAUAAUAAUUUCUCCCUCUGUCGUCAUUUGGCAAUAAUUUCUGAAUGCUUUCACACAAGGAUUUAAGUGCCGUGGCACAUGGUCGUGCCGGAAACUUGCCGUGCCGAGCCGUACCGAUGCGUGCCGGUCAAAAAAAUUCAUGUGUGCCGAUACAUAAUAGCAUGAAAUAUUUAUUUUCUUUAGCAACAAAAUAUUCUAAUUAUUUAUUAUGUCUUUUUAUCACAUCUUUUGAAUUUUAUUGAGGAAAUUACUUACUAAUUUAAAGAAUAGAGGGUUUUGAGCUGUGCCAUUGGUACAGGGUCUGUAUCGUGCCGGUAUCUUGUUGGCACGAUACGGCACGGUAGAUACGGCCCGUGCCGAUGGGCACUUAUAACUUUGCUUUCACAUGUAAUGUCUUCUAACCAAAACUUGCACCUUGCAUUACAUUUCCUCCCCUCUUCCGAGAAGAAUGCAAGAAAGUACUACUCUUCGCGCGUGGAUCUUUCUUUGAUGCCUGCGCGCGAUUGUAUCUAUCUAUCUACUCAGCUAAUAAUUGUUUCGGCAUCUCUCUUUCCUCAUCCUCUAAUUUUCUGCAUUCUAGGACCGAGUUUUCCAUCAAUUGCCUGAGUAGUGGUGAAGCCAAUCAUGGCUCUAACUUUCAUAGCCGGAGUGGUGGCAACGGCGAUCAUCGAGAAGCUCGUUGAUACAUGCUUUUCCUACAUCAAAGCUUACCCGGGGCUACGAGGCGUGCGGGACGAGCUGGAAAGGCUGCAGCUGGCCCUUCCGCAGAUCCAGACAGUCUUGACUGCCGUAGAGGAGGCGGCGUCUAUUGCAGAGCAGAACGAGGCGCUGGAUGCUUGGUUGUGGCAGCUCAGAGAUGCUGUGGAGAACGCGGAGGACGUGCUCGACGAGCUGGAGUACUACGAGCUGAAGAAGACUAUAAAAGAUCGAGAUGACAAGGUGCGUGGCAUUCUCUAUAAAUGCAAGAAAAAGUUUGACCGUUUUGUUGAUCGUAAAUUUAGCAAUGACACACUGAAGCGGUUGAGGGAGGCCGUUAAGGGGUUAGAUAUGGUUGUUGCCGGCAUGGGGCCACUAGUUCAACUUGUUACUGGGUUAUACGGUCCUAGUGUUAAGUGUCAAAAGCUCGAGGAAAUCAAGAAUGCUCGCGAGACUAGCUCCUUGGUAAUCAAAAGUGAGGUGCUCGGACGAGACAAGGAGACGGGCCUGAUAGUCGAAUGGCUGAUCAACCCGGGAGAUGCUGAUGUUGAUGUCUCCGCUUUUACAAUUGUUGGUAUGGGUGGGCUUGGGAAGACUACCCUUGCUCAACUAAUCUAUCAAGACGAAAGGGUGCGAGAGUACUUCGACCCCAUUAUGUGGGUUUGCAUUUCUCAGGAUUUCGAUGUAACUGUGAUAACAAGAAAGAUUGUAGAAUGUGUAAGUAGUGGGAGUUUUGGCGACAAGAGUCUACAUGCGCUCCAUGAGAAUCUUAAACACAAACUAACGUCGAAGAGGUUUUUACUCAUACUGGAUGAUGUUUGGAACGAUGAUAAAAUGACGGAGUGGGAGAAAUUGGUUGCUCCUUUGAAAUUCGAACAGAGAGGAAGCAAGAUCCUGUUGACAACUCGAAUGGGUUCAGUUGCGGAUAUGGCGGCAAAAGUGCUGAAAUGCAAGCGAGAGUCAUUAAAUCUAAAUGAGUUGGAGGAGAACGACUAUAUGUUGCUUUUCAAUAAGCAUGCAUUCCUCGGUGUGAACCCUGAUGACUAUAAAAACUUGCAACCGAUUGGUGAACGUAUAGCGAAGAAACUUGGAGGAUGCCCACUGGCAAUAAAGGUCAUGGGAGGAUUGCUGAACUCCUGCAUGGACUAUAAAUAUUGGAAGAAAAUCUUGGAAGAAGACAUCAUGAAAUUACAACAUGGAAAUGACAGCAUUAUGACAAUUUUGAGAUUAAGCUACGAUCACUUACCCACAAACUUACAACUCUGCUUUAGAUAUUGUAGUUUAUUUCCACAGGAUCAUAUGUUUAAGAGGAAAAAGUUGGUCAAUAUGUGGAUUGGUUCAGAUCUGAUUCCGCAAUCUAUUUGUGGCAGGCAAAGGCCAGAGGAUAUCGGAAAUGAGUAUUUAAAUCUUCUGGCAAAAAAAUCAUUCUUUACUUGCAAAACCAGUGCUAAUGGGUUGAAAAUUACUAAAGAGUAUUUUAUGCACGAUCUGCUGCAUGACCUAGCACAAUCAGUUUCUCUAGGAGAAUGCAUCAGAGUAGGAGGUGACGUUGCAAGAAUUACUAUUCCACGGACAGUUCGACAUUUAUCUGUUGAAAUGGUCAAUUUUCUUUCCAUCAGAGAGAUCUCCAAUCUUAAGAACGUGCGCACUCUUGUCAUUUCUGUGAGAGAGGACAAUACCCAUAAUGCAGAUCAUGCACUUGAAUUUAUUGAGGUUAUAAAAGGGUUUAAAAAGUUACGCUUAUUGAUCUUAGAUGUGAUGUUUGACCCUUAUAAACUGCCCGAUGCACUUAGUAGCUUGAUACACCUCCGCUACCUAUCUCUUUCACUAUGGAAAGUUAUGAAUGAAAGUAUUGAAUAUGAUGGCUUGACCAACUUGGUCAAUUUGCGUUCAUUAGAUGUUUUCGAUGAUGUGAUACAAAAAAUUCCUUAUAUUAGCAAAUUACCCUUCAUCCACGAAUUACAAAAUUUUGUUGUCCGAGAGGAGAGUGGUUACAAAAUUGGUGAACUAGAGAACCUCAGGGACCUUCGUCACCUGUGUAUUAGGGAACUUGAAAAUGUGAGGACUUCUCAAGAAGCCAUUGAGGCCAAGUUGAAUCAGAAAAAAUAUCUCAAAUCAUUGUCAUUGCAAUGGUCCGCAGGCCGCUUCAAUAGUGCAGAGGCAGAUGAACAGCUCCUCGAUAACCUCUGCCCUCAUAUCAAUCUCAAGAAAAUGUGCAUCGAACAAUACCAAGGUGCUAAAUCUCCAAGUUGGAUGACAAAUCUGUCUCUUGUCAAUUUGACAUCCAUCAAACUGAUUGAUUGUAAAGGAUGGAAGCACCUUCCACCUCUUGGGCAGUUUACUUCGCUGCAAUCUCUACACUUGAGGGGACUGCAUGCAAUAAAGCAAAUAGAUUGUUCAUUCAUCAGAAGCAGCAGUGCAUGUGACUUUCAAUCGUUGAAGUUCUUACAGUUACGAGACAUGCCUAACUUGGACGAGUGGAUUGGAGUAGAUGAUGGGUGCAUGUUUCCUCAACUUCUUUCUAUGAAUAUUAUUGACUGCCCUAAUUUGAGGGAAAUUCCUACUCUGCCGUAUAGUCUAAGUCGAUUGCAAAUUUCAAAUGUCGGAUUGACUGCUCUUCCAACAAUAAAUCAGAAUUACACGGAAAACAAUGUAAGUGCUUUAUUUUAUAAACUUCAAAUUUCUCCUGAGGUUUAGCUCAUUUUCAUUUACCCCCCCUGUAGUUCAAAAUGUAUCACUUUGCCCCUUCCCCCCCUGUGUUUUUGCCUAUUUUUUACUUUUGUCUAUCUCAUGGUUUGAAAAGUUACACUUUGCCUCCUUUGGUUUAGCUCAUUUUUUGCUUUGCUCUCCUGUGAUUUUUUUAAAAAAUAUUUUUAAUUUGCCUUCUAUUUCAUAUAGAAUUUUUUUGAUGAAAUAAAAAUUAAGCCACUGGACGGCAAAGUAAAACUUUUUGAACCGCAAGGUGGCAAGGUGAAAAUGAGUUUAAUUAACCACACGGGGUGCAAUUUGAAGUUGAGCAAUGCUUCAAUACUUUGUUGUAAUCUUAGCCGUUUAUUUUUAAUCAAUGAAGGGUUAAGAUUUAUGCAUAAAAAAAGAUGACCUACUAUUGCACAAGAAGUACCGGUCACCAGGUAUGUGAUUUAGGGGUGUUUUUGGAAAAAAAAAAAAGAGCUAAUAUUAAAAAAUUAAAUAACUAAUAUUGGAAAGUUUUGCAUACUACCCUUAAAUCAUGGAGAGAAUAAAUUUUUAAUUAAAUUAUCCAUUUUUAAAGCCGAUUUUAAUAAUAAUUUAUGAUCGCAUUUGAGUCAUAAAUUUAGUAAUUUAUAAUUUAAAAUUAAUUUUCAAACAUCGAAACUUUAUGUUUAAAUAGUUAACAAAAUUUAUUUUUUAAGUAUAAUAUAAAUUAAAUCUAAAUUUAUAAUUUAAAUUUGAUCAAUAUUUUUGAAAUUUAAUGCUGUAUUUCAAUAUUGAAUUAACAGUUUCAACUUACUUUAAAAUGUAGAAAUCUUUUAUUUACAUAAAUAAUAAAAGUUUAUAAAUACACUAUAACUUAAAUUACAAUUUUAAAGAUAGUAACAUUAAUUUUUGAACUUUCAUGUUAGUUUAAUAUUGAAUUGAUAAUUUGAAUUGAAAUGUUUACUCGUUUAAAUAUAAAUUUUUCUUUCUAAAAUUUAAAUUUAAUUUAUACAAUUAUAAAUACAAAGUUUAAACUCAAGUUAAAUUUUAAAUUCGAAUUUAUAAAGAUUUAUCACUUAUGAAAUUAACCAUUAUCUAAGUUGGUAAGUAACAAAAUUAAAUUAGGAAAUGAAGAUUUGUUGGAUAUUAUCAAAUUUGGUAAUUAGAUAAUGCAUACUUUCAAAUAUUAUCUUUAUGAUUGAUUGGUAACAUGUUGAGCAGGUUACCAUUGUGUAAAAGUCAAUCUUAACCGCAAAAAUUGAAUGAUCGGAUUUAAAUUGGCCGGUGUAUAGAAGUAUUUCUGUAUAUUAAAACACCAAUUAAUUCGUAUUUGCACGGCUAUGAUUGCCCGGACUUAAAUAUGUUUUACAUCUCUUUUCUUUCUUGCAGCGGCAAGAACAGGAUCUUGAAUAUGUUCCAACAUGUGGCGAUCUUGACGUGCCAUUGCUGUGGUCAGCAGAUUUAACCUCUCUUACUGAGUUGAAAUUAUUCGAUUGUGCAAGGAUAGCAUCCCUUCCCCCAGCACAAGUGUGUGCACGAUGGACGAUGCUUUCCCGUCUAAUGAUAAAGAACUGCGAAGGACUGUCAUCAUUUGGCGGAAUACAAGCUCUUGUAUCCCUCAGUUAUUUAGAAAUCAAAGGGUGUGACAAGCUAAUUGAAGUUGCCCUGCUGCUGCAGCCUCCGUUCCCAAACGAUGUCCGCCAAAACAAGAAUGCAGCAAUGGACUGCUUUUUGAAGAAUGGCGAACUAUCAAUUGACCACCCCGCCCUCCUGCUCGUGGAGCCAUUGAGAAGUCUCUCCUCCAUCAACGUGUUGACUAUCUCUGAUGCUUCACAACUCACCAGCUUACCUGAGGAAUGGCUACUGCAAAAUCACGUUGCCCUCAAAACUUUACGCAUAUCGAAUGCAAUCUCCCUCCAGUCCCUACCCCAGAGCAUGACAAAACUGUGCUCCCUAGAGCAUUUGUAUGUAUAUAUUGCUAAGCUCAUCCGGUCACUUCCAGAUCUGCCUACUUCACUGUGUACUCUACUCAUCUAUGGGUGUCACCCCGUGUUGAAGGAGCGAUGCCAAGAGAAUAUAGGCCUUGAUUGGCCCAAGAUUGCCAACAUCCCUGAUGUGUGGAUUGAACAGGCAGUUGCAGAGCAACGAUGAUGCAUAUUGUACGUUUACUUUACCACCCUUCAUCUCGCCCCUGCUAUAUACUCUCUGCGAUUUACGCAAUUCGUUUCGAUUUUAAUGAGCUACAACAUCUCGUUCCAUCUUAAUCAACAACUGUUAUCUCAUUUGUUUCAGGAUUGAUUAAUUACCUUCUUUUCCCGAAUAAUGCAACAGCAGUCAGGUUCGACUUUAAUUAGCAUCCUCCAUUAGGAAUUUUUUAUAUUUUUAAUUUUUACCCUUAUACUUUAUGGUUUGGAUACAUAAUAAUGGAAUUAAUAUAGCGCCAAUUAAUUGCGCCCUGUGAUUAAUACAUGAUGUUACGCUCGCUGGACGGAUUGGUCUUGUAAAACAAGCAAUGUAAUGAAUAAUAUAACACUAGUGAAGAGGCUCGCGCUUUGCAGCGGAUAAAAACCGUAGUAGUAAUUAAUAAUAAUAAAAUAUUAAAUAUUUUUUUGUGUAUCUCACUUGGUACAUCUACCGAAAGUCUCUCACUGUAGGCGAUAAAUAUCAACCUGACAAUGAAGAAAGAGAGUAAAAUAACUCAUUCUAAAUAAAAUUAAAUAGGGGAGAUGAAGAGACGUAUGUUGAGAGAGAGAGAAUAAAAUGGAAGAGAUGAGAAGACGUAUGUUGAGAGAGAGAGAGUAAAAUGGUUCAUUCUAAAUAAAAAUUGAAUAGGAUAUAUGAAGAAACGUAUUUUGAGAGAGAGAGAGUAAAAUGUCUUAUUCUAAAUAAAAGUUAAAUAGGAGAGAUGAAGAUAGUAUGUUGAAAGAGAGAAUAAAAUGGUUCAUUCAAAAUAAAAAAAAUUUCAAAAUUAAGAGAUUAUGACACAUCAGCUUAAAACAUUGGGGAUUCAUAAAGAGUAAUAGAUAUGUUAAUUGCUAGUAUAUCGAUUGCUUUCUAGAGUUAAAAACUAUGACUAAUUGUCCAGUGAUGAGUUAGAACAUAUAAAAGAGACGCACGCGCGCGCGACAAAAGCUUUCCGAGUUAUUUUAAUUUCUUGGUGCAGGACUGCAGUAACGUGAUAACACUAGUCCUAUAUGUAUUUCACUCAAUUUGUUCAAGAAUAUAAAACGAGACUAGUAAAGUUUAACUGCUUAUGUUCUAUUUCGGUAGUGCGGGAACAUGUAUUGAUUAGGACUCCAUAUAUAUUGCCGCUGAAUCUAGUUUUGCUUAUCUGGGAUAAAACAUGAUUACAAUCAUUCUACGUAUUCUCUCUUCUUUUUAGUUUUCUGGUGCAUGGGUGAAAAAGGCUUGCAUUGUAGUCUAUCGACUUCAUUGUAGGAGCACAACAUGGCUAAAGCCUUGCCGCUUUUGUUCUUCUAUUUAAUUAGUACUGGACUCAUAUAUGACUCCCAAUUCAUGGUCAUGUUCUAUCAAUUUAUUCAUAAGAUUAUGAGAAAAUUAAAGACUAAUUUGUUACUUUAUGCUUGUGUUCUUCAGUUUUAUUGGUGCAGGAUCAGAGUAAGAUUCCUUGCUUCUUUCGUGUGCGUGCGUGUAUAGUAGCCAAACUAAUGUAAAAUCUUUAAGAAAUAAAUUGCCCUCUUUUGCAGCAGGGAGGUUAAAUGCUUCAAUUUUGUUUCUCCUUACUUUAUAUUCGUAUAUACCAAAGGUAAUUUUGUGUUUGAAUAUUCCUGUACAAAUAGGAAAAAUCUUAUAGCCUGGUCAUAGGCUUGUUUUGUCUUGUGUAUUAUCCGGUGAAGCUGUUAAACAUUGCUUUAAAAUGUGUUUCAAAUUAUUACUGGUAUUUUAGCAGUACAGCAAGCACCCAGAUUAAACUCGUGAACUCAAUCGCAGCAGUAUAAAUCACGCUUUUAAAUUUUGUUUAACUUUUUCUUAGUGUUUAGUGCAGGCUCUCAUGGUAGAUUCUCUCUGGAGAGAAUUCCGUCGACUCGCCAUAAGAGUAAAAUGAGGGCUAUGCUGCAGCAGGCAUCAACAUGCAACCACAUCCUGCAAUAUCUUAAAUUUACUUUCUUUACAUUUUUUAAACGAGCUUUAGAUUCAUUUUGCAUCGAUUGCACAAAACAACUGAAGCAUUACUGCGUAUGUUCUAUGUUCGGUGGUGCGAGAACGAAUUAAAGACUCUUAUCGAUUUCUCUGUAUAUAGGAAUGUAACAAGACCAAAGUAGACUACUGCCUAUGUAUUUGUAUUUUCUUUUUGUUCUCGGUGGUGUAUGAAUUAAAAACGCUCCUCUUAUUAUAGCCUAUCGAUUUCGUCCUUGCUACAAAGGAUGGUUAAAGUUGUACUGCUUUGUUUGCAUUCUCCAAUUUUUCUUGGUGAAGGAUCGGAAUGAGACUACUACAGGUAGUCUAUUUAUAUAUGCAUAAUGUGAUUAGUGUCUUUAAUGUAGCUUAAUUUUACUUGUUAUUUCGUUUUACUGGUAUCACGAAUAUUUGGGUGUAAAUACGGAUAAUUACAUUAUAUAUUUUGGAGAAUAAGAUUUGGAGAUGUAUUCUUAAUGAGAGCAAUGCUUCAAUACACCAUAAGUAUAAAAAUUAAGCUCUUAAUUAGUAAAGGGUAUAGUUGGAAUUUACAUAAAGUAACCUAUUGAAUAGGUUACCGAUUUGAAUUAAGUUAAUAUGACAAUAUUGAAAAAAAAUUAGAAGUAUAUACUAAAUUUGUCAGUAUUUUUUAUUUAGUUUUGUUACUUACCAAAUUAGAUAAUGCCCAAUUUGUUAAGUAUCCAACUCAAAAAAAUAUUGAAUAUAAAUUUAAGUUUUGAAGUUGGUAUUGUAAUGUAAAAUUUUAAUUUCAAAAUUUAUAUUAAACUUUUAAAUUUUGAACCUAAUUGAACUUUUAAUCUUAAAGCCAAACUUUAAUUUUUGAUUUAAAUUAAAAUUUUGAAUUUGAACUGAAAGUUUUAUUUUAAAUUUGUGUUUUAUAUUUAAAAAUUGAAUUUGAUUUAUAAUUAAGUUUGUUAUGUUGCUUUGUAUUUAAAUUUAUAAUUUAGUUGUAAUUUGAAUUCCAACUAUUGUUGUAGGUAUUUGAGAAGGUUAUAGUAUUUUUUAGUUGGAUAAAACCGAUUUUAUAGACCAAAAUAUUCUUCUAUGACCAAAAUACCCUUUAAAUAGGUACCGGGUGAAAGGUACUUAUGCCUAAAUGGUAAGUCGCCUCUAGAAUUAUAUUACAUCUCGACCAUCUAUGUAAAAAAAUAAAUGGUCAAGAUUUAUAUAAAAUUUAGAUGGUGUAUUGAAGUAUUACUCAUUUUUAAUUAGCGAAGCGUGCGAAGGCCAGAGUAAUAAUCUGUGUGAUGGCAAGAUAGCAAAUCCCAUAGCUUGAUGAGCUUUUUUUUUUUAUUUUUUGUUUUUCUUUUCACUGUACUCUGAUGAAGUUGUUGAGCUUGUUUGAAGUAGACAAAGUAUCCCAGGGCUGAAGUUGUGAAUUUAAUUUCAGUGGCAUAAAUUAUACUUCAAAUUUUGUUAAACUUCUUAAGUUUUUAUUGAGGGCUGUACAUCGAUUUUGAGAGUAAAUUUGGUCGGUCCGGCCGACUCAUUGUAAAAGGGAAAAAAGGGCUGCUGUACUUCAGCAGGCAUCAACUUGCGAUCACAUCCUGCAGCUAUAUAUCUACUUUUAUUCUUUAUAGUUUUCAAAAAGAAAUUAAAUUUCUUUAUGCAUUGAAGACGAAAAAACAAAGCUCAUAGGCGGGGAUGUAAGAAGGUAAAUUUGUCAUCUACUUAAAAGACACUAAAUAAUUCGCCACUUUAUUAAGGUGACUAAUAAAUCUUAAACUCUACCUACUAGAACCGGCGUUACUCCGGCGAGGUAUGAGGGUUAGAUUCCUAAAUAAUGUUUGUAGGGGUUAGUUCCCAAAUUUUUUUGCUUAAUUAAGAUGUGUAACGCAUGAUGAUUAUUAUUAUUAUUUUUUAUUUUUUUAUUUUUUCAUGAGCAAUGCUAGCUCUACAAUCCUUUAUGGCUUGUAGUUGUAACCUUACAAUUUCCACCGUUUUAUGUCUACUUUUUUCAAGCUUGUCUUUUCCCUUUUUUUUUUUAAAGAAAAGAACCGAAAAAGGUGAAGUAAAACCCUUGCUUUUUGGAUUGGAAAUGGUAAAGAUUCAAACCUUAAAAAUGUUGCAGACUUAGCAUUUCUUUUUUUUUUUAUUUGAUUUAUACCCUCCAACUUACAAAUCGUUUAAUUUAGGUCCUUGCAUUAGGCAAUUUUAAACGGUUAGAAUCAAAAGCCCACGAGGAAUGCACGUGAUCAAAAAUUGCUCUAGUCAAAAAGAAGAAAGCAGGGUUGCUCUAUUUUUGCUUAAUUUUCAAAUUUGUUACGAAUCGUAUGACUGCUACAACCUUACUACCCCUUCAUUUUUAUCAAGAAUUUUUUUUUUUUUUUUUUUUUUUUAGAGAUAGGUAGCACGCUACCCGCUUUGUUUAUUUCAUUUAGAAAUAAACUCAACUGGAAAUGCGAAUCAACUAGGAUUCGAACUUGGGUCUCGGGUAUCAACCAUCAAACCCUUUGCCACUUGCCCUAGGAAUGUUACCCACUUUAUUUUUAUCAAGAAUUGCUUUGGUUCUAUUUGCAUGUACAUCCCUCUUGCCUCUUAGUGUUUCACUCUAACAAAAUUCCCAACAUUACCAAUGGAAGAACGUAAAUCAAACAGUUUGUAAGUUGACGGAUUUAACUCAAAUUAAAAAAAUAUUAGGGAUUUAUUUCAAAAUAGGUUGACAUUCAGGGCGUGUCUAUCCAUUAUUCCAUUAUAACAUUUUUAUUUUUAUUAAUCAAGAUUACAUAAAAGUUAUCCACCGUCUCUGAAGCAAGUGGCAAAGCGCUUACUGGUUGGUACCCGAGAUCCCAAGUUUGAAUCAUAGUUGAUUCACAUUUCUAGUUGAGUUUAUUUUUAAAUGAAAUAGACGAAGCUAGUGGCGUGCUACCUAUUUCUCAAAAAAAAGAAAAAAAAGAUUUCUCAAAAGUUAUUAAAAAAAAAGCACUAAUCUAUACUUAUGUAUAAAUUCUCAUGUUUAAAUUCUAUGUGGAUGUAACUCUUUAAUUUGAGGGAGGUGGGGUUUUAAGCCAUUUCUUCUCUCAUCUAAAAAACUAUAGCUAAUCUAUUUUUUCAAAUGGCUUUUCGCUUUUCGGCGCAUUUACUCGUAUUUACUUUUUCUUUUUUUAGUAGCCCUUGAGCUACCAUUCAUGAAAGGUUAGAGCGAAAAGAUGUUGAAGUAAUUUAUUUCGUAUAUAAAAAUCAUUACCCACCUCCUCUCCACCUUCACCCAUUCCCAUUAAUUUACAUUAUUUUUUUAAUUAAUUAAUUUUAAUGGGUGGCACAAGUUAGAUUCCAUUUUUCUUCCUUACCAAAUUUUUCUUUAUUUGUUUAAUGGUUAAAAUUGAGGAAUAUGCUUUUUUUUUUUCUUUUAUGUACAAUUUUUUUUGUUAGUUUUAUAUUAUAUAUAUAAAAGAUGUGUAAUACUUUUACUUAAAUUUGUAAUAUAUAGUUCUGUGAAGGAGGUGCCUCCCUCUCCUCUAAUGCUCCCAAGGACAAAAAGUAUCGGUUAAGAUAUGGAGUUGCUAGGAAAGAGUUGAAGGCGCUGUGUUACCUCACGAAAUAGUUGGCCUCGGUAGAGGAUGCUCUAGACAAGGGUGCAAAGGGGUCCGAUUUCUAUGCAACUGUUAUAUUUAGUUUAGAUUUAUAGUUAUCUAAAUUGGAGUUAAACCCUAAUCUAAUUGGGAUUGAAUAUAAUUUGGCAUAUAUGGAUUAUGAGUCUGAAUCUAAUUUCAAAUUGAAUUAGAUUAGACUUGUGUUUAGAAAUCCAAUUAGAUUAGAGUUCCAAUUAAGUUUUGGUCUUUUGAGAGAUUCAAUCUUGUACUCCGUCUUUCAACAUUAAUAAAGUAUUUGCUCUGUUUUCAUCCGUGGAUGUAGGCCAUUUGCCGAACCACGUAAAUAUUGGUAUGCUCUUUUCUCUUAUCUUUUCGUUUCCUGCAUUAAAUUAUUUUCUGCAUCUAUUUUUCGCUUUUUCGAUUUUAACAGUAACAAUUUUUUUUAUCUUAUAGUUCUAUUUGUCUUUCGUUGUUUUUAUUGAAUUAUAAUUCCAUUAUGAAAGCUUUAAUAUGUUUUUUACUUAUUAAUUCCAAUCAAAUAUGAUUAUAACCUUUUUUUUAUAUUCUAUAUUUGCUUAUUUAAUCUAUAAAUUUUUAAUAAAAAAAUUUUAUCUGCCAUUUCGCGCGGUUCCUACACUAGUUAAACAACCACACAAGCGAAAAGGGAAAAGGGUAUAGUUGGUGACUUUUAAUUUUUUUUUUAGGCCACUUUUUUUAUUAUGACUUUCAUUGAUUUGGAUGAGUUGGAAGGCGUGUAUGUAACGUAAACUGAUCAAAUUUGGGGCAAGUUUUUUUAAAAAAAUCUAAAUCCAAUCCUAAUUACCAAACUCAAAUUUAAAAUUGGAAUUUGAAUCUGACGAAUUUUUAAAAUUUAUAUCCAAGCCCAAAUCUUUCCAAAAAUUCAAAAUCCGAAACGGAAAAGUCCAACUCGAAACAAUUAUUUCUUUUUGCCAUAUUUUCAAACAUAUUAUAUUGAAUCUAAAGUAAAAUAUAAAUUCAAAUAUAAACACCAAAUAUUUAUAUUUAUUAUAUUAUGUAAAAUCAAUUCUAGUUCGUGUCAUAUUUUGGAUUCAAAACGAGUACAGACAAAAUCCAUACCUGAAUCCAAAUCAGACGAGUUUUCGGCUUUUAUAUCUGUAUCCGAAAUGAUAUCCAUUUAGUAUUAAAUAAAUCCGCUCCAUUUGAAUUUGUUUUCGAUAAAAUUUUGAAUAUUUGUUUUAGAUUUGUCUUGAAGUGUGGGAAAUUUUGGUUAGAAUUUGUUUAGGAGUGUGGAAAAAUUUCCAGCACUUUGAUGACUUGAAAGCCUUCUCUAUGAAACUUCCAUUUCAUUUCCUCCCCUUAUCAAGAAGCACACAUGAAAUUGGCCAAAAGAUAUCUAAUAUGUUUUUGGUCGACCAAAAUGGCUUCAUUGAUUUUAUAAAAUUUCUUCAAUAUAUCCAUAACUAUAGCAUUUACUAAUGAGAUUUGAGGUUUAGAAGAACAUUUUGAGAAUAAAGGAAUGUAUAAAUUUAAAAAAAUUGAAUAGUAGUAGGAGAUAUAUAAGCAAAAGCCCCUAAAAUUUAUAUAGCAAAUAAAUCAAUCAUUCUGAGUCAGGAUGAAUGAAAAGAAAAAAAAUAGUGAAUAAUUUAUUACAUUCGGAGAACGGUAAAUGAUUUAUUAUUUCUUUAAAGACUAGAAGUUUUAUGUAUUAAAAAUUGAGCAACAUUAAUUACUUACUUUCAGUAUAGACUAUUUAAGAUGAUGUAUAGGGUUUAUGGUUUAAGAUUUAGGCUAAAGGCCGUGAACAAUUCAUCAUCUCGUACGGAAAUUUAAAGUUUGUUUUCAUGCAAGAAAACAUUUAGAAUUGUCUAUAACACACCGGCAAAGUACCAGUUAAUUUGUUCCAACUGUGAGAAAGUGCAACCAAAGCUCUAGAUUAAAGUGUUACGCGCCUCAUAGUUCGAGCCAAAAAUUGCGACGAACUGAAGUUCAAGGACUUGUCACGCAUCUCACACAUCGAGCCAAAAAUUGUGCUGAAUUAAAAUUUGAGAACUAAAGUGUACAGUUUGAGCACGAAAGUGUAAUUUACACUUAAGGCAGCGUUUGGUUAGGCGAUAAGGAUAGGAAUAGGCCCUUAUCCCCCCUUUAUAUCCAAACGCUAAUUUUUUAUCCGAGAAUAGUAGUUCUCGGUUAUCCCCACCAACACCUUCAUUUUCUAUAUAAAACUAUCUAAAAUUAUUCUUAUCUCCAGGAACAACCCAAUUUUCAUCCAAACACUAUUUUUCUUAUCCCCAUACUUGUACCUAUUCCUGUAAUAGCUAGUUCUUGCUUAUACCUGAACCACCUUACGUUUUAUCCACUAGUAGGGGGCCAAUAAUUGCAGCCUCAGUUUAGCGGUGGCGUGGGGUCAAGAAACACGACCUUGGAGGCUUGGAUGAUUUAAUUAUUCGAUUUCAGGACUGGGGCGUGGACUCUCUAAAGAAGUCGGCAGAACCUCCGGUCAUGCGAAAUCACAUGCAAGUUUUCCCCAACCUAUACGCUCCUUUUUCUUGUCUGCAUGCAGUUAAUUUGCAUAAAGAGAGAUACCAUACCUGCUGUGUAUAUAUAUUACCUAAUAAGUGAGUGAUUAUUUUAAGCAUUUCUCUUUCCUCGUUCUCUAUCUUUUGCACUCCAAGUGUUUGAUGAAUUGCCUGAGAAGUGGUGAAGUAGCUGUGGUUUAAGCUUAUUAUAUGGAGGAUUAUGGCUUUACCUUUCAUAGCCGAAUCGGCGGCGUCGGCAAUCAUUGAGAAUCUCGUUAGCACUUGCUCAUCCUACCUCGAGGCGUGCCCGGCGGCCGGCGGCAUGCAGGACGAGCUUGAACGGCUGCAGCACGCCCUUCCGCAGGUCCAAGCAGUCUUGACUGCGGUCGAGGAGGGUGCGAUGGUCAUGGCGCAGAACAAGGCGCUGGAUACGUGGCUCUGGCAGCUCAGAGAUGCCGUGGAGUGCGCGGAGGACGUGCUCGACGAGCUGGAGUACUACGAGCUAGAGAAAACAGUACAAGAUCGAGAUAACGAGGUGCCUGGCAUUCUCUCUAAAUGUAGGAGAAAGUUUGACAGUUUCGUUAAUCGUAUCUUUAGCGAUGACACACUGAAGAGGUUGAGGGAGGCCGUCAAGGGGUUGGAUCGGGUCGUUGCCGGUAUGGGGCCACUCCUUCAACUUGUUACUGGGUUAUAUGGCCCUGGCGUUAAGCGUCGAAAGAUCGAGGAAGUCCGGAAUGCUCGCGAGACUAGCUCCUUGUUAACCGAAAGUGAGGUGCUCGGACGAGACGAGGAGAGGGACUUGAUAGUCGAAUGGUUGAUCAAACCGAGAGAUACCGAUGUCUCUGCUUUUACCAUUGUUGGUAUGGGUGGGUUCGGGAAGACUACCCUUGCUCAACUAGUUUAUAGCGACGAAAGAGUGCGAGAGUACUUCGACCCGAUUAUGUGGGUUUGCGUUUCUCAAGACUUUGAUGCAGCUGUGAUAACAAGAAAGAUGUUAGAAGGUGCAAGUAGUGAGAGUUUUGGCGACAAGAGUCUAAAUGCGCUCCAUUAUAUCCUUAAACAGAAAAUUUUGUCGAAGCGCUUUUUGCUCAUGCUAGAUGAUGUUUGGAAUGAUGAUAAUACGAUAGAGUGGGAGAAAUUAGUUGCUCCUUUGAAAUUUGGACAAAGAGGAAGCAAGAUCCUUUUGACAACUCGAAUGGGUUCAGUUGCAGAUAUGGUGGCAAAAGUGAUGCAAUGUAAAAAGGAAUCUUUAAAUCUAAAUGGGUUGAAGGAGAGCGAUUGUAUGUCGCUUUUCAAUAAGCACGCUUUUCUUGGUGUGAACCCUGAUGAUUAUAAAAACUUGCGACCGAUUGGCGAGCAGAUAGUGAAGAAGCUUGGCGGAUGCCCAUUGGCAAUAAAAGUUACGGGAGGGCUCCUGAACUCCUGCAUGGAUUAUGACUAUUGGAAAAGAAUCUUGAAAAAAGACAUUGUAGAAUUACAACAUAGAAAAGACGACAUCAUGACAAUUUUGAGAUUAAGCUAUGAUCACUUACCCACAAAUUUACAACUCUGCUUUAGAUAUUGUAGUAUAUUUCCGCAGGAUUUUAUGUUUAAGAGGAAAGAGUUGGUCUAUAUGUGGACGGGUUCAGGUCUGAUUCCGCAGUCUAUUUGUGGGACACGGAGGCCAGAAGAUAUAGGAAAGGAAUAUUUAGAUCUUCUGACAAGAAAAUCAUUCUUUACAUGCAAAGCCAGUGAGCGUGGAUUUGAAAUUCCUAAAUUUUAUGUUAUGCAUGAUCUGUUGCACGAACUAGCACAAUCUGUUUCUCUAGGGGAAUGCAUCAGAAUAGAAGGUGAUGUUGUAGGAAAAACUAUUCCACGAACAGUUCGACAUUUAUCUGUUGACAAGGUCAAUAUUCUUUCCAUAAGAGAGAUAUCCAAUCUUAAGAAAUUGCGCACUCUUGUCAUAUCUAUUAAGAAGAAUCAUGAUCAUAGUGCAGAUCAUGCACUUGUAUUUAACGAGGUUAUAAAAGGGUUUAAAAGCUUACGCUUAUUCAGCUUAUAUGUGAAUUUUGACUUUCAUAGACUGCUCGAUGCACUUUACUGGUUGAUACACCUCCGCUACUUAUCUCUUACCCUAUCGCUUCCGCUAGAGGCAGUUAUGAAUAAAAGUUUCAUGAAUUUGUUUCCUCAAUCUCUUUUUAGGCUUUAUCACCUAGUAGUCAUGAAGUUCUCGACCCCUGUUUUAAUGACUUCUAGGAAUAUUGAAUAUGACGGCUUGACUAACUUGGUCAAUUUGCGUUUGUUAGAUCUUCCUCGUGGUAUGAUAAAAAAUAUUCGUUAUGUUAGCAAACUAUCCUUCAUCCGCAAAUUGGAAUAUUUUUUUGUCCAAGAGGAGAGUGGUUACAAAAUCAGUGAACUAAAGAACCUAAGAGACCUUCGUCGUUUGAAUAUUAGAGAACUUGAAAAUGUGAGCACUUCUGAAGAAGCUACGGAGGCCAAGUUGAACGAGAAAGAAUAUCUCAAAUCAUUGUUAUUGGGAUGGUCCAGUGACCGCUGCCAUAGUGCAGAGGCCGAUGAGCAGCUGCUUGAUAACCUCUGUCCACAUAUCAAUGUCAGGAAAUUGUGUAUUGAAGAAUACAAAGGCAUUAAAUCUCCAUGUUGGAUGACAGAUUUGUAUCUCAUCAAUUUGACAUGCAUCCAACUGGUCAACUGUAAAGAAUGGGAGCACCUCCCACCUCUUGGGGGUUUGCCUUCGCUCAAUAUUAUUCGGUUGAAGGGAUUGGUCGCUGUAAAGCAAAUAGGUUGUUCAUUCUAUGGGUGCGGUGGUGUAUGUGCCUUUCCAUCGUUGAAGCAACUAUUCUUACUUGACAUGCCUAACUUGGAGGAGUGGAUUGGAAUAGCUGAUGGAUGCAUGUUUCCUCAGCUUCAUACUAUGGUAAUCCGUGACUGCCCUAAUUUGAGGGGAAUGCCUACUUUGCCUCGUAGCCUUAGACUGUUGCUUAUUUCUCAUGUUGGAUUGACUGCUCUUCCAGCAAUAAAUCAGGAUUGCAAAAAUGACAGUUUAAGUUCUCUUUUUUAUAUUGAACCACCAAUUCAUAUUUCCAUUUGCUAUGGUUGCCCAUAGUUAACAUUUUUACAUUUUUUAUUCUGCAGCAGCAAGAACAUGUUAUGGCUCUUGAAAGCUUAAUCAUCGAACAAUGUGAGAAGCUCAAUUAUUUUCCAACAGAAUUUUUUGGGAAUUUGAGCCUUGUAAAAUUCUUGAGUAUAGAAAAGUGCCCGAAGUUGACAAAAUGUGGGAUCACAGACAUCCAACCGCCUUCUGCACUCGAUAGACUCAUUAUUGGGUCAUGCGGCAACCUUGAGGUGGCAUUGCUCUGGUCAGCGAAUUUAACCUUUCUUACUUGUUUGGAUUUACUCGAUUGUGCAAGUAUAGCAUCCCUUCCCCCAGCACAAGUGUGUGUGCGAUGGACCAUGCUCUCCCAUUUAGCAAUAAAAAACUGCAAAGAACUAUCAUCAUUUGGUGGAAUACAAGCUCUCAUAUCCCUUCGUUCUUUAGAAAUUGAAGGGUGUGAUAAGCUAAUUGAAGUUUCCCUGCUGCAGCCUCCAUUUCCAAACAAUGUCAGCCAAAAGAAUCCAGUGGACUGCUUUCUGAAGCUUGGUAGACUAUCAAUUGACCAUCAUGCGCUCUUGCUCAUGGAGCCAAUAAGAAGUCUCACCUUCAUUAGCAGUUUGACCCUCUCUGGUGCUUCGCAACUCACCUCCUUACCUGAGGAAUGGAUACUGCAAAAUCACACUGCCCUCAAAUUUUUAAGCAUAAGGAAUGCAGUCUCCCUUCAGUCCCUAACCCAGAGCAUGACAAAACUGUGUUCUCUCGAGAAUUUGGGUGUAUAUAAUGCUAGUCUCAUCCGGUCACUUCCAGAUCUGCCUACUUCGCUGUGUACUCUAUGCAUCACCGGGUGUCACCCUGUGUUGAAGGAGCGAUGCCAAGAGAAUAUAGGCCUUGAUUGGCCCAAGAUUGCCAACAUCCGUUAUGUGAGGAUUGAAUAGCACUUGCAGAGGUGAUGAAGCAUAUUGUAUGUACACUUUACCGCCCUUCAUCUCGCCCAUGCUACCCUCUGUAAUUAAUGCAAUUCACUCUGGUCUUAAUGACCUACUUCUCAUUCAAUCCUAACAAGUUUUAUCUCAUUUGUUGCAGGUUUACUUCCCUUUUUUCUGGAUACUGCUCCUUUUUGGAUAACGCAAGAGCUAGCAGUCAGGUUCAUAUUUAACUUAGCAGACUCAAAAGAAUUUUAUAUUUUUCACCCUUAAUUUACAGUUUGGAUACAUAAAUUAGAAGUAACGUGCUGCUCACAGGACUUGUGUGAUUGAAAAGAUAGGAUUAUAUCCGAUUAGCUAAUGCAUCUGUCGAGCACCUACCUUCCAUAUCUAAAUUAGAAGUUAAAUAAAUUUCUAGCUAGUGGCAAAGGGCUUGGUGGUUGGUACCCGAGACCCAAGUUCCAAUCCUAGUUGAUUCACAUUUCCAGCUAAGUUUAUUUCUAAAUGAAAUAAACGAAGCGGGUAGCGUGCUACCUAUCUCUCAAAAAAAAAAAAAAAAAAAAAAUUUCUGUCUCAAGACAUCUCUUGCUCUUCAUUUCACAUGCUAGGCCUGAACAUUGAAGCAAUGGAUUAGUCAUGUAAGACAAACAAUUUAUAAUGAUUAUUAUAAAUACUUUCUACAACUAAACAUGACUACUUGUCCAGUAAUUUUUUUCCAGGGGAAAUUAGAGAAGCGCGACAAAGCAUUCGAGUUGUUUUAAGGUAUUGAGUAUUAGGACAUCCUUCGUCUUACUGCAUGCAUGUGUUCUUCUAUUUUCUUGGUGCAGGUUUAGAGAAAGACUCCAUGUAGUAUUGCAUUUUCUUUCUUUUUAUUUUCUAUUGCCAGAUGAGUGAAAAAUGUGUAAGAAAGAAAUUAUCCUCUUUUGGAGCAAAUUAAGAGGUUAAGCUUAAAUGCUUCAAUUUUGUUUCCCCUCACUUUAUCUGCAUUUAUCCUAAAGAUAAUUUAACAUUGUUUGAUUCCUGCACAAGUAACAAACCUCAUCGCAUGGUGAGCUUGUUCUGUUUGUGUCUUAUCUGAUGAAGUUGUUAAGCUUCUUUGAAGUAGCUUAAACACCUAAUUUGGAAACUGUUUAUUUCAAGCUAUGUUUACUUAGCAGCAUAACAAGCACCCAGGUUAAACUUGUGAACUUAAUUUCUGUGGUAUAAAUUAUACUUUAAAUAUUGUUAAACUUAUUUUAAGCUUCUAGUGCAGGUUGCAUCGACAUUUGGAGUAAAUUUGGUAGGUGUGCUCUGUCGAAAAGGCUCGGUCAGACUCUUUGUGAAAGGAAAACGAGGCUACACUACAGAAGGCACGAACUUAACAACCAUAUUCAGCAGCUACCAGAUUUUAAUCUCUUUAUCAAUUUUUUUGAAAAAAUAAAAUUUAAUUUUCUAAUGCCUUGAAGAUAGAAAAACACAUUCAGAAUUGAACCAUUUUGGCGGUUGUUGUUCAUGUUUCAGUUCAGUCUUCAAUCUAAGUUUGGUUUUGAUUCAGAUUUUUCGGACAUUAGUGCUUUUCAAGUGUUCAUUUUCUGUCUAUACUGAACACACUCUAUUGAAGAGCUCCUCAUUUUUUCUUUUUUUUUUAAAAAAAUUUACACCCUCUUAACUUUUCUAUUCAGCUAUUUCAGUUAAUUAAAGUGAAAACUUUGUUAAUUUUAAUGGUAUUAUUUUUUUCUAUAAUUUAAUGCUUCAAUAAAAUUAUUUUUAGUAGUUUUUUUGUGUAACCAAACACCACACAUUAUGUGCACUGAGAAACAAUUGCCUGUACCCAGUGUACACAUAUAUGUGCACCGCACCAGUAUAUGAUCCCAUAUGUUUGAUCUAAAAUAUCUAAAGAGCCUAUACUGGAAAAAUUGUGAUUUUUUGAAAAGGGUAAACUUCAAAUUGCCUCCCUGUGGUUUAACUUAUUUUUAUUUUAUCAUUCAAUGGUUUAAAAAAUUAUAUUUAAUUAUUUUAUGUUUUAGCGUAUUUUUUACUUUGUCAUUCUAUCAUUAUUUUCAAAAUCUUUUUACUUUACCGUCCUGUUGGACAUAAAAUUUUUUGUUGAAACAAAAAUUAAAUCACGUAGAUAUCGAUUGAGCAGUUUUGAGAUUUAGGCUUCGUUUGAAAUUACGGGGAGAUUGCGCUACGUGCGGUGAGAAAGUACGAUAAAAAAUAUCUUGUUUGUUUUCAUAUGUAAUAUUACGUUUCGCAUAUCGUAAUUAGUCGAUUAUGAUAUAUUUUCUAUGGUCCCAUCGGAGAACGCAGAAGUGUAUCCCUAUAUGCUUUUAUUCCAACUCCAUUUUAUCAAAUAGAACCUCAAUACCAAACUAAGCCUUAGUGGUAGAAAAAGAAUAAAAGUUUUUGAUUUAUAAAAAGUCAGUGUCAAAUUUAUUUAUUUAUUUAUUUAUAUACAUAGGACAUUUAAAUACAAAAGAUGCAGCCAAUAAUUAAUUCCCUUAAUAUGUAAUUACUUCUAUGUAAUUUUUCAAUUCGUAACUUUUUAAAAUCCAAGCCCAAUUCAAUUAAUAUGAUCUACAACAAUAAAGGGAUUAUAUAUAAAAAAUUACAUGAUUUAUAAAAAAUAUAUAUUUCUGUAACAUCAAGUAAAAUAAAAAAUCAGUGACUGCCUAUAACGCAUCGGUAAAAUACUAGAUUAAAUUUAAGCUAAUAUAAGAAAAAUUUUUGUAAAUAUUCGUCUUUUCUCUUUCUCUCUCUAACUUCUAAAAAUAUAUUCGUCUUUUCUCUUUCUCCUUCUAACUUUUAAAAAUUUAUAUAUUUUCUGCCUCGAAGUUUCAAGUUGAUGUACUUUGUCUCCGCCGUCAGAAUUCUGUCACUGUCCCAUCUUUUUCUUAUAAUUUAUGACGGGAUAUGUCCGUAAAAAUAUAUUAAAAAGCUAAAUUUUUUUCCGUAG